rnacentral:lncRNA from 1 species
GUGUAAUACAGACAGCAUUCUACAUUAGACCUAGGAGAGGAAGAGAAAAGGUUGCAUUCUAACUUCCAAACAUUUCCUUGUGGAUCUGACUUUAGAAAACUUUAAAAAGGUACAGUAUUGCUCUUUAAUUUUUUAAUGUAAAUAGACAAUGUAGAGUUUUGUAAGAGUGAUACCACAUUUUAUUUGUGUAAUAGAUAUGUUUUUUUUGUUUUAUAAUAAAUGGAAAAACAUUUUAUAAUGCUAAAGUGCUGGAGAGAGUAAACAAAAUCUCCAGGUUAAAUAAACCUCCGCGCUCUAGCUGAUGGGGAUAAAUUUGUAACCCUGACAUUGUGCUAUUCAAUAAAGUGAGAAUUUCUGGGAAUCCAAAGUGCGUUUGAAAUUUAAGACCAAUUUAAUAGCCAGAAUUAAAACAGAACUGACAGAUUUUUUUCUUGUUUGUCUGCUUUGAUCCAAUUUUUUAAAAUAUACAGUUGAAUUAUAUUUUAAUUUUUAAAAUGUUAAUAUUUUAAUAAUUAUAGAGAAAACAGAAAAAGAAAUUAAAGGAUAGAAAUGAAUUAUUUAGUAGUUUACUGCUGUUAAAUACAUGGCCAUUUUGCAUGGCAAUAUAUUAUGAGGAAAACAAUGUUUUCUUUGGAAUAUUUCUUGGCAAGCUUGCGAAUACAAUCCUUCUUUUAUACAAUGAUACAUUACACUUGGGAUACAAGCCUCUUUCUUCCAAGUGUGCUUGAAUACAUUAAUCUGAUUUUAACCAUACCACACACACAGUUUAUCUAUACAGAGAGUGAAAUGGAGAGUGAAAUUAUUUUUUAAGUAGCAACUGUAAAAAUAACUAAGGGUGACUCAUUCUAUUUCAAAAGUCUAAAAUUGAUGCAUUGAAUAGGUUGCCUAUGCAAGGUGCACUUUAUUGGAAUCACCAGAUAUAUCACUUACACGUUUAAUGUGUUGCAACCUAUUUUUCAGAACAUUUUGAGAGGCAAAUGAGUGUGACACAUACUGUACCACACUCAAUCGUUGAGCAAAAAACAUUUCCAGUAAUAUGGUUUAUGAUGUUUUGUCACUAAACUGAGAAUUGUGGAGAAUUGAGAAAGCUACACAUCUUAUGGAAUAAUACCCAAAACAACAACAAAAAAUCCCCAAAUGUCUAAGUUCCUGGUCAGUUUUCCAAAAUCCCAUUUGUAUCUUCAUUUUAACUAGAAAGUUGCAAGCUCUUGUAUUGGAAGGAUGUGUUUUGGAGUCCCGUUUUAUAAUGUUUAGAGUCUUUGGUUUAUUUACAACCUGUUUUUCUAGAUGACCUUUUAACAUAUAGCAAAACCAAUAAACAAACAGCAAGGUUACACAAUGGAACAAUAGUUGGAGCGGAACAUGCACAGAAAAGUUACAAUUAGUUAUGUAGACAAAAGUGGACUUGUUGCUAUGUAAAUGUGACAUUACAUAAACGGAAAAAAAAAAUACAUUAUAGAGUACAGUUGUCCAAUUGUGACCUCAGCUUCCUUUCCUACAGUUUUUCAGGAACCAUGUUUCUGUGAAUUAUAAUCGAAUAAUAGCUCGCCGGUCAGGUAUAAAAAUCCUUUUGGAGAUUUUAAAGCCUCCGUUCUUAAGGUAAAGACCACUAGGAUUAGAGCUGCCUUGGUGGGAUGUAGAUCCAUAUCAGUCAAACUUAAGUCAAGUUAACCCCUUAAGUACCAAACUUCUGGAAUAAAAGGGAAUCACGACAUGUCACUCAUGUCAUGUGUCCUUAAGGGGUUAAAGCGUAAAGUUUGGUCCAUGUUAAGAUGGCAAAGUGGACAUGCUUUAAAGAAGUUUAAAUGAGUAAAAUAAAAACUUUAGUAAAUAUGAGGUUUGCCCGUUAUGUUUGUUUUUAGGAUACAGUAACUUGGACUACUGAAAGAUACUCAUUAAACCAGUAUUUUAAUUCAGGAAGGUGAAUUGCAUUGAUGAAUUUGUCUGUCUAUCUUUAUCUGUUUGUAUUAUCAUCUUAUAUAAUAUCUAAAAAGUAUGGACUGAAUGAGUGAGGCAAUGCAUUUUGUAAGGUAGAACAAUGUGCAUUAGGGGUGCAUUUAAGAGUAGAGACCAAUUGUCUUCUCAGUGUCCCAUAAAGAUCACUACCUGAUCCAAUUCGGGCGAGUUUUAUUAUUUGGUAAAAUAUAAUUAAAUUUUUUUCGAUAUAUAUUAAGAUAUCAUUAUGUCAAAUUACGCUAUUUUUAAAGCACUUUUGUUAUGUUUUUAUUAAGUAAACUUUAGUUGUCAUAUGAAAAAGUUAAACUUCGGCUUGUUAUUUAAAUGCUACAUACACAUAUGGCAAAUAGGUUAAUAAGUGGAUAUUUGAAGGUAGCAAUAGCAGUACAUAUACUGGAAGAAUACAAAUUAUAGAAGUAUCUCUUUAAGCAAUAAUGUUCUUUAAUAAGUGUUCUCUGCUGCCCCUGCUUGACUUCAAUGUGAUACAUGUAAACAAAAAGAAAGGUAUGCUGUCUGACAGAUAACUUGUGAGCUGUAGAUCUGUAAUGUGCAAAGUGAAUGCUUUGAAUCUUUCAGUUGGGGACAGAUUUUGUGGUCCCAGAAUGGCAGAAGAGCUAUAUACAGAGCAAAAACUGAAUGCCACAUACAGCCCUUUAAAUCUAUUUAGAUUCCCUCAGCUAGAAAGUCUGAUUGGAGCAUCAUUGAGUGAUAACUGGGGCUCCCCUCUGUCAGCUGGGACCAUAGUAAGUGGCCUGAGAUUUACAGAUGACCUGUAUGCAGCAUUCAAAGUGAGAGCUGUAUACAGCCCUGGACACCUUCAGGACCUAAAAAAGUCCAUAACAGAGUCGCCCUGCAUACCCCCCUACCAAUUGUGAUCAGUGCUGGGCUUUCUACCAAGUAGUGAUCACUGCAGAGACAGUUGUAGGAUUGAGAAAUCCCCCUCUCAUGCUGUAAUUGCACAGUACGGGGAGUUCUGUAUUGUGUGACCUGAGAAAUCCCUCUGCUGAGGUCAGUACUGAUGUCAAUAGAAGGAAAUCCCUUUCAGGUGGGCUUAAGGGUUGGAUUAGGUACAAAAGCAUAGAUGUGGGGUAUAAAUAGACUGGGUGGUUGUACUUUCUACAAAUAUAUGUAUUGUGCCGUGGCUUGGGAUUUUGUGACAACUAUUAAAAGUGUGUUCUCAGCAUGCCAAAUAUUGUAAAGGAUGAUCUGGAAAAGUUUAAUUCACUCCAUUGCAUUAGAAGUUAAAUAACUUCAAAAGAUUUAUUGAAAUUUUAAAUAUAUUGGGCAGUUUAACAACAUGAAAUAAUUCAUCAAUUUGGAGCUAAUUUUCUUUAGUUGCACUUGUGUAGAAAUUCGUAAAUAAUUUUAAAAAAAAAGUUGUGUGUUUGUGAGGGUCGGGGGUUGUCAUUUUUCUACUAUUUCUCCUUUAAAAAAAAAUAAAAAAAAAUAAUAUAUAUAUAUAUAUAUAUAUAUAUAUACACACACAAAGAAUGAAAUUGUGGUAGAAUUAAUGCUGUGUUGAAUGAAGCAUUGUCUUUACAGACAGUCAGAUAGUUUGCAAGUUUCCAUCUAAAAGUUCCAAGUGCAGCGUGUUUGUGAGGCACCUCCCUGUUCUUUCAGAACUACCGUACAGCUGUGGGCUAUGUAACAGAUGUAGAAAGAUUAACCCUAUGCUCAGACUAAGAUACAUAUUGUCCCUGACCCUGUCACAGCCUAGUCCGUGAACAUCAUUGUACACUGUUGCUUACAAAGAAAAAGCUUUGUGGAACUUUGAGAUAUACUAAAUUGAGUUUUUGAACUAUAACAAAAUAAUCCAAAAUAAGGAUAUGAUACUUUUAUUUUAUGUAUUAUGGAAAAUUAUUAAUUUUCCUUUAAACGGAGUUGUGCGAUUUGAGCUGAAUGUAUGCUAUGCAUAUCCUCUUAAUAUAAUCAAUCAUUCCAUUGUUAGUCCAACUGUGUUUUCAUCUAUGUUCCCUGAGGCAACUCCAGCUCUAUAACUCCCAUCACAGAAGCAUGGCUACCGUAACAGAGCCUCCAAAUUAAAGCUGUUCCUUUAACACUAUUGUUAUAUCUGUCAAGUUUCCCAAAUUAUGAGAGGAUUUCUUCAUUUGGAUCGUAAUUCACCUCUUUUUUUAUUUUUUAAAUUAAUAAUUUUAUUAAGAAAUGGAGCACAUGUAAAUUAAUAAAAACAGAAUAUGUAUAAUUACAAAUAUAUAUUUUAAGAAAUAAGUUUCUGCUAACAUACAUACAUAUUUUAUACCUUGAUGAUACAAGUAUCUGAAAUAGACACAAAUUGUCAAAUCCUUAAGUGGUUUGUGGGUAAAAUAUUAAACCGGUGUGUCACCACCUACGGUCAGAGACUCCUGUUGCUGACUUCUCCCCGGUCAGUGUGGGGGCUGAGGGGUACAGGGAAAGGUAAAUAAUACCUACUUGAAAUUUUCUGUCGUGGCCACCGCCAUCUUUUCCCUAACCAUUUUCUUCAGCUCCUGGCAGGAGCCAACGUCAGCAUUCUACUCUCAUGCAUGCGUGAGAGUACAAGAAUGAGGUCUAUGAAGGAUCCUGCAAGAUCUUCAUAGAAAGAGCCUUUUUCUACUCAGCUGUUGAUGACUGAGGGCUUGACAGGGCUUAACCAAGCUUUGUCAAGUAUAGGAAAAAGCAAAGACAAAGUAGUCAUUAGUUUGUCUUAGUAUACCUUUUGACUGGAUUAGAAUUUCAUUGAGAUUACAACUUUUAUCUUUAUGAAAUACUAACUUUGGAUGGGGUGUGACAGAGCUGCUUUAAAGACAAGACAAACUAGAAACCACCAACAAAACAAGGCAAAACCAUUGCAAAAUGCAUUUAAAAAUAAUACACCAAGAAAAGACAAGUGAAUCAGAUAAUAGAUAAUAGCAGAAGAAGGGGGACCACAACGGGAAAAAAUAUUAAAUGUCAAAAUUUUGUAGACAUGGAAAUCGUGUUAAAUGAAUAUUGGAGUGAUGGAAAAAUAAAAAAUGUUCAUGAAUCCUUAAUCCUUCAUAAAUAAAUGAGUUUUCCAAUUCUAAUCCCUUACAGGUAAUCUAGGGAACUCAUGGAAUUGGGUCAUGAGACAUAUAUACUCCUUAAAUUGGUACCAUAUUUUAUUAUAAGCAGAAAGUAUUCCUAUCAGGUCAGCGGUUCACUUCUCCAUGUCAUGAAUGAACAGAUUUUUCUUAAUAACAUACUUCAGUCAGGAGUCUGAUCCUUAUAUUAACAGACCUGUAGCUGUGCACAUUUUCUCUGGCAAAGUCUAGACACCAGUUGUGUUCGCUGGGUUGUGUUUAGUGCAGCAUGUAUAAGAGACAUUUUUGGAAUAAUCUAAUAAUAAUAUUUGUUAUUAUUAUCAUCAUCAUUAUGUGUAGCCUCUUCUUUUGUAUUCCCACCAAUAAUGAAAGUAUGCUUACUUAAGGCCUCACCCUCUAUAACAUAAUGGAGAUAGAUCUGGAUAAUAAUGAACCAGUCUGACAGAGUACAAGUACCACUUUGCUACACACAUCUAUUUCCUUUAAUAGAAAGAUGUCUCUCACGGUCUCUUCAGUCAAUACCUUGCCCAGGUCUCUGUCUCCCAAAGCCUGGAAAUCUAUUUUGCCAUCUAAACAUGGACUCUGCAGCAUUUUAUAAAUACAUAGAAAUCUUACUAACAUUCUGAAACACAUCUCUUAUAAAGAGGUUAGAGUGGCGUCUUCACCAAAUGUCACAAAUCUGUCUCAGAAACCAACAGUAGUAAAGUUUGUCAAUUCGCCUGAAGCAUCCCAAACUUGUUCUAUAUAUAUUGUGAUAAAGUGAAGGCAGAUAGGCCUUUUAACCCCAGGGGAAGUACGUGUAGUUUGUGUAUUGCACAACACAAAGCUUUGUUUAGUUAUGGGCCCCUGGGGUGGAGCAUUUGGAGAGAAGGGUGGGCCAGUGCUCCACUCCACAGUUUAGUGGUUUUCUGGGGAGACACAGAUCCAGGCCAGGGUUUUUUGGACCGUCUCCAACCCACUGCUCAGCUGCAGUUAAUGAGCUGUUGCAGUGGGAAUAAACCCCUACCUGCUAGGCAGGUAAAAGGGGGGAAUUGCUGGCUUCCUCCCAGGAAGCAGGUAGGAGAGAGGCUGUUCUCUCCAGAUACAGAGUCAAGGAGACUAGGCACUGGGAGUGCAGAAAGAAGCAGUCAAGGCUGGCUUGGAGCACUGGGAGUGCAGGAGGAAGCAGUCAAGGCUGGCUUGGAGCACUGGGAGUGCAGAAGGGAAAGCAGUCAGGGCAAGGCUGGCCUGGAGCACUGGGAGUGCAGAAAGGAAAGCAGUCAGGGCAAGGCUGGCUUGGAGCACUGGGAGUGGAGAAAGGAAAGCAACAGGCUAGCUAGCAGAGUGUUGCUAUCUAAUAAGGUUGGUGCAAUAUGUUUGUUAGUUUAACCCUGAUAGAGAGGGAUAUUCAAAGUGAGUCAGUGCUCAGACGAGCUAGGUUUUUGUUUAAAGGGAAACCUGUUAUAUUUAUGUUUUCAUUUGCUGCUGCCUCAUUUGUAAACUUACAAAUAAAGUGCCUGGAAUGAAGUUGCAUUAAAAGACUGUGCAUGUUUUUGCCCUAGAGGACCGUGCUACCUGCUGACAAGGAUCACUAUAUAUAUAUAUAUAUCUAUAUCAAUUGUUGGCCUUUGCCCACUUUGAUCAGUAUCUCUGACCAUCAUUAGAAAAUGUGUAAAUUAGACUGAAGCAGAGUUGACAGGUUUACAUUCUUUUAUGUUCACCAAUUGGGCAUGCCUUGCCCAUGAGUUAACAAGCGGUUUCAAUAUGAAGUGCAAAGAAGGGUGACGGAGGGCAACCUUGUCUUGGUCUGUUUUUAAUUGGUAUAGCUGAAGACCUUACUUCCAUUGCAAAAACAUUUUGUUUGAUAUCUAUUUAGACUUUUUAAACCUGAAAAAACCUUGAAGGGACACCAAAUCGCUCAAGAACCUCCCACAUAAUCUCUGUUAAAGGUUUUAAAUUUUUUAGAAGCUUACAAUGUGUGUUGUGUUUAACAGAGCUUCACAGUGAUAAAACUUGGAGUAAGGUUUUGUGAAAAGAGCAGUGCCAAUUCCUAAAAUUUGUUAACUUUAUUUUUACUUUGCAUUAUGUCUAUAGAAGAGGAAAUUACAAAGAAUCAUCAAAUAAAAGCCUAGGUGAAGGAGACCUACAGAUUUGAUAAGCCAGGCCAAGUCAAGCAAACCAAGAGUAGGAAGGUUCUGAAAACGCCAUUAGGGUGAUGUGCAUCAGCAUUAGGGAUUUAUAUAGCUACUAACCCCUGUAGAUUGGUUUGCGUCCUUUUUAUGCACCCAGAACAUAGGAAUAACGCCGGCAUGACUUAAUCAGAAUGAUGCACAGCUACCUUUAAAUCACUGACACAGUGUGCGGAACAGUAGGGAACAAACCAAGGAUGGUGCAAAAUAACAAGAUCCUCAAAUCUACACAGACUUGCCAUAUCUGGGACUAUUUGAAGGCUCAGUGUCUAGCACUUCACAAAGCAGGGCCUGUCUUUGAAUACUCUGUAAACUAGUCCAAGAAUUUCUGGAAUUAUCAUGCAAAGCAGCCAAGUUCAAUUGACCUGACCGUGAAUGUUAUAUAAGUCAACCCAAAAUAACCGAGGAUACUGCAAACCAGCUAGCAUGCUGUGUCUGAGUAUGCUACGCAAGUCAUUUCAGAAAAAUCAGCCUUUCUAAGCAUAGUAAUAAAAUCCAGGUAAUCUACUCCGUGGAGACGUAUGUGAAGCUCCUUUUCAUUGCUGCUCAGUAGUGCAUUCAUGCCUCCUAAAUGUCGUUUAUUUGUGCGCAGUACUGUACACAUUACACACACACACACUAUCUGUGUCAAGGAAAGAAACACUGUGUGGAAUAGAGAACUCAAAGCAAUAACACAAACAUCUGGAUGUCGUAAAUCCUUUGGCUCUUUGUUGCAUUUUGCAUUCAAGGAGGAAAACAUUCUAAAAUGAGUUAUAAAGGUCUGUGUGUUUCAUGAAUGCUUAACUAUAACUGACGAAUGUGGCAUACCCUGAAAUUUACCUAUAUUCCAACUUCAGGGCAUAUUAACUCCACGCAAGGAGCAGAGAAACAAAGGAUUGAAGAUUUUGCCUUUAAAAACAAGCUACUGUUUUUACUAAUGAACAUAUUAUCUAAAUGAAGUACUGCCAAAUUUCAGUGUUUUAAACUCUCAAGAAGUUGAGUCAAAGCAAUACGUUUAACGUCUUAUAAAUUACUAGACUACUGCAGUUCCGUCAUUCUUAAGGAUUUUAGGAAGAUGGAAUCUUUUUGAAAAAAACUCAUAUAGGUGCAUUGAGAAGAUGUGAAUGAGACAAUGAAGUGACUACUUUUUUUGGCUAAAUGUGAGAAAUGGUGGAGUUUCACUGUCACAUGUUGCCAUCACCCAUUAUAUAAGCCUCACGAUGGCUGAUGAGGACAGGCAUCUUCACAGUAAUGCUUACCAUAUGCCUAUAGCAUCUCAAUGCAUGAGAGUACAUUAGUGAUGGUGACUCUUGGUGACUAAACCACAAGUUGAAGACCUGGAUACGUAGAAGAACAUUGCACCACAGAGAAGAUGCUCACAAAACUAUUUCAAGCUUUAACCUGUUCCACAGCUUGGCCUCCAAGCACAGCUGUGCAAGGAUCUUUGUAUACACAGGUGAUGAAGCACCUUGAUAUCCCCAAAAAAUGCAUCUUCCCAUCUGUAUCUCUUAACCCACCGGUUGAAUUUCUCACCCCUUUUGUUUUUCUUAUCCGCUUUAGUAUACCUUGUUCAUCACUUACAACCAUCCUGUGUGUUUCUUACUUCCCUUCAGCCUCUUUGCAUCUCUUACUUCUUCCCUCAAUCCUCUGUAUCUCUUACAAAGCCACUCAUUGUCUCUCUGCCCCCCCUUCCUCUUUGUGGUCUCCUUCCCCUCCUAUGUCUGCUCACUUUCCUGAGUAACAUGGCCACGUGGACAGCGGUAGAUCUUCUGAAUCCUUUAUCUGAUCUGACAAGUGUUUUUGAGCACUUUCUGUCAGACUGGGUAGAAGGUAUAGAAAAUCUUAUACCAUGGUCUGCAUGGCCAUGCUACAUGUAGUCACUGGCAAGAGGGAGAGCACAGUGUUGUGUGCUUCCCUUCCAUCUGUCUCCUAGAUCUUGUGCCUCUUAGGCUGGCCAAAAAAAAAUGCAAAGACCUCAAAAAUGAGAGUUCCCCUUUAACUCUUUAUUUGGGUCUCAAAAUUGGAUCACCCUUUUAUUUUUUUUAGUCCCUGUUGGUAAGAAUAGGGAGAUUAUAUUAAACGGGCCACUGACAUUGAGAAGAAUUAAACUUAGCUUUGCAAAAUGUAGUUUACCAUAUUUGAAAAAUAGGUUAAUGAGUUAAAUUUCAAAUUGGAGAAUUGGUCACCAAGGACCAUUGAUGGAUAUUCUUUGUACCCAGAUUUUUGUGAAUAACAUUUACUAUGGCCUUUAAGGGAUACUCCAGGCUCCAAUAUAACUUUAAUUCCCAACCUGGCUGUAGACAGUCAGAUAAACUACAAAUAGGUAUUGAUAUCCUUACUAUAUCCUUACUGGGUGCCCUCUCCUCUGACAUCAGAUCACUUGAUGUCAAUGACUGAGGAAGAACAUUUGAUAAGGAAGUCUUUUUUCAGUAGUGAAGAUGUGGCUAAAGAGGCAUGCUUAUGGUGCAGUAUUCUUACAUAGAUACACUGUUACAUAGGCUGAAAAAAGACAUGCAUCCAUCAAGUUCAGUCUCUUUUACAUCUGUUUUUGCUGUUCAAACAUCUGUACAGACUCUGAUGAAACCACCUCUUCAGGCAGAUAAUUCCAUAUGCUUAUUGUUCGUACUGUAAAAAAAAAACAAAAACAAAAACUUGCCUUUGCCUUAGACUAAAUAUAACUAAAUAUAAUUUCUUCCAGUCUAAAUGCAUGAUCUUGUGUCCUAUGUAUAGUCCUGUCUAUGAAUAGAUUUCCACACAUCGGUUUGUAUUGACCCUGAAUAUGUUUGUAUAAUGCUAUCAUAUCCCCUCUGAUGUGCUGUUUUUCUAAGUUAAACAGAUUUACAUUUGUUAACAUUUCUUCAUAACUAAAAUGUUCCAUUCCUUUUAUUAAUUUUGUAGCCCGCCAAUAUACUUUUUCUAGUGCCAUCGUAUCCUUCUUUAGAACAGUUGCCAAAAAUUGCACAGCAUAUUCAAGGUGUGGUUUUACCAGCGAUUUAUAAAGAGGCGAAAUUAUAUUUUCAUCUUGAGAAUUAAUGCCCCUUUUUAUAUAGGACAAUCCCUUAAUGGCCUUAGCGACUGCUGUUUGAUGUUGCACAUUUUUCCCUAGUUUGUUGUCUAUAACAAUUCCCAAAUCCUUUUUGUGUGUUGUUAUCCCCAAUUCACUACCAUUCAGGAUGUAAAUUGCUUGUGCAUUUUUUACCCCCAAGUGCACAACUUACCAUUUAUGUACAUUUGAGUAGAUAAAGUAAUAUCCUUGUAGCAGAGUCCUAGUCAUAGCAGGAACUCUUCUCUGCUGGUUACACCAAAGUAAAGUCAGGAAGAAAUAAAAAAAAUAAAAAAAAUCUAGUUGUCUUUUACAUGUUUCCCUGCAGGGCCCAUAGUCUGUGGGCAGGACGCUGGCAAGCAGGCUUCUCCAGGAGUUCGUGGCAAACUCGACUAAAAAGGGUAGUUUGCCACAGGAAUAUUUAUUAAUUGUUUCCCUUGCGGUUUCGCACUUAUGUGGUUGGUGUCAACAUUUUAAUGGGGCACAGGAGUGGUCCUCGUUCGGGAGACAAAUAGAAUCUGUUCAUAUGAAGUCUCCCGAACAGACAAAGAAGAACCACACAAAAUAACAGUACGAAAACACAUGAAAUGUGGAAGUUUUAUAACAGUGGGGGUACGGACAGCCAAUAAAGGAAAACAAAGGUGUCUAGCAAGCGUCCAUUCUGCUUCUAUCCUGUAUUACUUUACAGCAAAGUAAUAUCCUGCAUUAUUGUACAGAAUUUUGUGUCAUCUGCAAACACUGAAACAUGGCUUUCAAUGCCUAUUUCAAGAUCACUUAUAAAUAUGUUAGAUAGAAGUUAUCCCAGAACAUGACCCUGAGGGACACCAUUUGCCACUUUUGUCCAGGUUGAAAAUUAAAUGACAACUCUAUCUUUGUUCUAACCAUGAAAAAGAUUUUUCAUCAAGACCAAUUUCUUUUUGUCUGAACACGAACAUAUUCUGUGCAACAUCUGCUGCAACACCCUGAUCUAUACUUCUAACUACAUCUUCGUAGAACGCAAUUUAGUUAGUUUGACAUAACCUAUGUUUCAUAAAGCCAUGCUGAUUAUAUCUAAUAUAAUGUUCUUCCCAAUUAAUUGUUGAAUAUUAUGCUUUAAUAACCCUUCUAAUACUUUCUCAGCCAUGGAAGUCAAGCUCACAGGUCCAUAAAUUCCACGUCAUGAUUUUGAAUGUAGGAACCACACCUGCCUUAAUUCAAUCCUCUAGUGCAAUUAGUGAAAGAAAAUAAUCCGGAAAAUAUUAAAAGCAGAGGUUCACUUAUUUCUACGCUUACCUCAUUAUAUUAUUUUAUAAUGUCCUUUACAAUCAAUAAAUAUUUGCUUCUGCAAUUUCUGAAGGGGUAAUGGCUUUGGGAAAUUCAGCCAUUGCUAAUGUUAGAAUCCUUUCACAGAGGAAACAUUAAAAUCAGCCCAGAAGAGCUGCACCCUAUACUUUACUAGAGUUGAAAACCAUGAAUCCCUUGACGCUACAAAAUAGCCACUUUGUCUCAAUUUUUCAGAAAUUAAUCUGGGGAUAUUAGUCACUAAUCCACAGUAAAUAGCAGCUGAAUUUUGCACCUCUGGGGAUGCGUGAUGGAAAUAAAAAUGAAGUAAUGCAGUUAAUUAGAUUGAUCAAAAAUGCGUGAUAUUCAAUGUAUGUAGUUCCCCUCCCUUCAGAUCACAUGGGGCUUUUCCGAAACAUUAGGGAUGUUACAGAGACAUUCAAUUUGUACUUCUUAGUAUUUUAUAUCUAUUUACUUAUGAAUUAUUUAGGAGAUUAGAAUAAGUCAUGUAGAGAUACAUUUUCACAGAAGAUUUAAAAAAAUGGACUUGACUUUUCUCCAGUUCAGUCUGUCAUUUAUUAACACUAUCUACUGUUUACAAGUUAAAAAAAUAUCCAUAUAUUAAAUUACCAGUCAGAAGAUUUGCAUAGCUGUCCUUCCCUCAGAGGCUACCUGAUUGGUUCUGAAACUUUAUUGGGAGAACUUGGAGGUAUGAGGAGAAGUGGGCCUAAUUCAGGCUUUUGUAUCAAUUAGUUUUGCAACAGUUCUCCCAUUUAUAUCUUGCUGAGAAAAAUGGUGCCUAAUUUUUAAACUGAAUACUUAUGACAUAAUUAAUGCUGCAUUAAAUAGACACUGCUUUAGCAAAAAAAUAUUGAAAAUAAUCCUUAAACAGUAUCCUGCACCAAAACACAGACUGAUAUCGUCAAGGCUAACCUAUCUUUAGUAUGCAAACCCAAGGAGAGACAGCACAGAAGUCGGUACCGAUCCUUAGAGUGUCCAGGCUAGCACUAAGAAUAUACAAACAGAACAGAGGAGUCGUGAACAGGCCAGGGCCAAGGAGCACAAAAUCUAGAGACAGGCCAAAGUCAGGAGUACACAACAAGCCAUAAACACAGGGAAUGCACUCUCAGAUAUACAGGCACCACUACACCUCGACUUCCUGUGGAAUGAGUUUAAAUAGCCCUAGCAUCUGACAUUACCAGUGUGACACCAAACUUAUUGAUCUACCAUACCAAAAUGACGCUGAACUUGUGUCAUUACUGACGGUAGGACUGAUAUGAGGUCGGCAUUGUGGUUAAGUCCUUUUGCUUUGCAUCAAUAUUGUUGCAGGACCGGUGUAAGGUUGGGACAAAACUAAGUCUUUUUGUCUCGCAUCAAUUUUGAUGCAGGAUCAGAGUACAAUGCUACAUUGGGCAUUAGAAUGAUGCCGGAAGCAGGCAGAAAUCUUGACACUUGGUGACACUUAGUCUCCUCCUUUAUUGUCUACCUCAAACAAGAAGUGGUUUGAGGCAGGUCAUCUAAUGCCGGAUUGUUCUUUCUCUGCUAUGGCUAGGGCCCUGCACAUUCCACUAUAUAAAUUGUUCGGCUCAAACAGGUACCGUCAUUCUUCCACAAAAAUUAAUGGGAAUCACUUGUACAUACACUAAACAGGCAUCUUGUUGCAUUUUUUUUCAGUGUUGUUUCAAUUCACUUGACUAAAGAACCACAGCCAAGCUCAAUAAGGUUGUGUAGUGCUGCAAAUGGUCUUAAAUGUAGCUUCUAUUGACAUAUGGGGUAAAUGCAGGGCAUGCUCAGUACAGUUUAGCUUAGUACAUUGGCUUCAAUGUUUGGGACAUAAGCAGUAAUAUAGCUUUGUGUUCAAUGUUUUGUUCCAACAAAACUAAAUAUAUAGAGAUAGUGGAGAUGAAAGAGUAAAGAUAAAGAAUACAAAUAUUUUUUCCUACUUUUGAGGCCAUCUAAAGUAACUUUAAAGCACUGUAUUAUUUGUCAAGCAAAACAUAUCUUCAUAAUUAGAAAUGUAAUUAGCUUAUUGAUUAAUAUUCUCUUUUCCUCCAAAUACUGUCUACCUUAUAGAGUACAUUAUGGCUGCAUUAACUAAAAGGAACACGCCUAACACUAUAACAACUUGAGCGCCCCCAUCCACCCUCUGUAAGACGUUAAAUUGCUCGAGAACAGUUUGACUUUUUAACCUUGGGUCUACUGGGUGCCAUUCUCCAUCUUCAGUACUUCCUAUGGAGAACCAGAAGCGCUCUAUCUGACCUGGGCCUGUCAAUGCAGAGCUUAGGUCAUUGUCAGAGAGUGAUCAGCUGAUAGUUUAGGAACUUCUAUCUCUCCAUAGGAAAAUAUUAAAAUACAGGUGUCUGUUAAUAGUCAACGUAAAGAUGUAACAAGUGAGGAGUGGUGCCCAGAGGACCCCAGGUAAAAAGUGAAACUGUUGCAGCUUGACUCCUUACAAUGGAGUGUACCAAUACACUCCUAGUACUAGUUAUGAUACUUAGAGCAUUGCUUUAAAGAACAAGCUUUUUUAAUUUCUAAUUAUUUGUUUGUCAUAAUAGUGCGACUUUUGGAACUAAAACCCUUUUGACUCUACAUCGAAAAUAAGUAGAUAAACAUUUCCAUUCUUUGCUUUUCAUGUGUUUUAAUUUUCUGCAGACAAACUACAAAUCACUUUUACGUUUUCUAAAUAUCAUGCUUUGCUUAACUCUUCUGAGCCAAAUUCACCAUUGAUAUAUAGUAAAUCAAUCAAAGCUAUAGAAAUAUUUACAAAUAUUUAUGCAAACGCCAUGUAAUAUAUGUGCAAUGUUAACAAUUUUUCCAAACUGAUGAGUUUUUUGCCAUUGAUUAAUAUCUUCCAGAGGACAGAAUUAAUCAUAUACUUUAGGUUUUAACUCUUCGGAGUUUGCUAAAAGGGGAACUGUAACUUUUUCUAUAAAUUACUGUAUUCUGUAAAACCUUUACCCUAUAUGAAGCAUAUUAAAUUUUUCUGUGAUGCUCAGUUUUGUUUUAAAGGUAUAUGUUUAGCAAUGGUGUCACAAUCCAGUUGUUUCUCUUCUUCUUCCUGACAUAAUAUGUUUAAUAAAAGAAAAGGUCAGAGCUGAUAACAUUGAUUGACAAGGAGCAAAGAUGAAGCUCUCAGUUGAAGAAUAGAAGACAUGUUUGAUAAAUAUAAGGGGUAUUUAAGCCUAAAUUGGGGUGACAGUUCCGUUUUAGCUAAGCAGUAAUUUGUGUUGGGUUUAGAACUUUUAAGACAAAAUUUUACAGUUGAGGGGUUUGGAGCUGGUUUGGAGAUUUUGCCAUUUUAGCUUUUGUACCCUAAAUAUCUGCAAAUCAAUUAUCUUGUUACUACAGAGAUCGGUUUAGUGAAUCUUCACAUCCCUAAUCUUCUAAAGGAACAUUACAACCACCAUAACUAUCACAGUGUGCAGUAAUUAUUAAGGUGCCUGGGGGGGGCUGUGUUGACCCACAUUGCAAGGAAUCAAACUGUUUUAAAACUUGGGUUCCACAGGCUACUUCUCACUAUCUCCACUGCUCAGAAGUUUCCUUGAGUUCUCCUUAACAAAGUCGUGCAUUGCAGAAAGACAAUCAGUGUAUCGCUCUCCAAUGAGAAAAGCUCUGCAUUGCCAGGCUUAUAUAAUUAAGCUAUAAUGGGGAGUAGAAAGAAGUCAAACUGUUUAACUCCUUGCAAUAGGGUGGGGUGUGCCCUCAGGCUCCAUAAUCACAACAGUAUUCUUUAGUGAUUAAAUGGACACUCUACUGCACAAAUAAUAAUUAUAAUCAUCAUAACUCCAAUGUAAACAUGCAUGCAUUUCAUUAGACUUUUUUUUAUUGGGAUAUAUCUAAGAACAGCUUGGAAAAGCUGUCAAUCUCUUGUCUGACGCCUGUGCAGACCCUUCCCUUCUAACCCCGCCCAGAUAUUAUAUGGCUGUCCAAUCACAGGCUACUCACAGCACCUGUCUUGUAAAGACUUUAAAUUGAGUUGUAUUAGGAAAACACCUGGCUUUUGGGUUUUGCUACACUGAGCUAAAGAACCAGGAAGUUACAUGAUCAAAUGUCUGAUUGACAACCAGUAGGGGCGUAGCAAUGUUAAUUUAUAAAAGUGCUAAUAUCUAUUGAAAUCUGCACUUUGUAAAUGAAAAAAGGGGACACGGUCUUCACAUAUAAAGCUUUAGGAGUCGGGAGUGUUCAUUUAAGGUGCUUGGAGUUGCUCUGCAAUCAAUACAUUUACUGGUAAUGUUUGGGGAAAAAAAACAUGAGGAAUUUUGGUCCUCAUGGGCUUUGUGAGCCACUGUUUUGAUAGUAAAAGUUAAAAAUAUUAAACUAGAGGUGUCUGUUAACAGUCAGUGUGAAGAUGUAACAAGGUGCUUGCCUGAUACAUAAAAACUCUGGCUUUUUUCAAAAAAUUUGGAAUCUGUGGUUGUCACACAUAUAUUACAUUGAAAGAUAUCUGUUUUUCCUCCAUUUUUUCACAUUGCAUUCCAAAGAGACAUUUUCUCUUUUCCCACCUUUUUCCCCACUCCCUUACAUUUCUUGCCUUGUUAGGAAUGGUUAAAUGAAGAAAACUAUAAAACUGGCAAUGUUGUGUUGUAUGUAUGCCACUGCAUUUUCCUUGUACAGUUUUGUGAUUACAUAUAAACAAUCAAGAUCCAGGGAAGUCACUCACCAAACACCAACUUCAAAGCUCACACAAUCAUUUCAAUACUCAGCUCAGAUUUAACCUCCACCAAUCACCUAAACAUCUGUUAGUAACACAGAGAAGUAGUGAUCAAUCAAGAAGGGAGAAGUGGUAAUUUAUAAACAAUUUUAUUAACCAUUACUAACUAAAAAAAAAAAAACACUUGAAAAAAACUACACAAACUGUUUCUAUUUAAAGGAAACAUGUAUUUUUUCUGGUGACAGACACUUUACUAAGUUAAUUCCAAAAAAGAAAAAAAAAGAGAAAAAUACACACUAAAAAAGGGGGGACACUUGCCGCAAGGGGCUCCAUGUCUUGAUAAAGGCUCAGAGAGAUGCCGAAAUGUUGUCUACUUCCAUGUUUUUAAAUAAAAAGACUGCCUUUUAGAAGAAACUUCAGAUGUGCCUGGAUAUUUCAUUUAUUCCACUUUACUAAGUCAAAGGAACUAACACAGUCUGUAGCUUUUUCAUAUCUGCCUAUUAAAAACUUAUUGGACAUAAUAAAUAUUUAGUUUUUAAACUUUUUUUUUUUCAAAUUAUAUACAGUUGCAAGAAAAAGUAUGUGAACCAUUUGGAAUGAUAUGGAUUUCUGCACAAAUUGGUCAUAAAAUGUGAUCUGAUCAUCAUCUAAGUCACAACAAUAGACAAUCACAGUCUGCUUAAACUAAUAACACACAAAGAAUUAAAUGUUGCCAUGUGUUUAUUGAACACACCAUGUAAACAUUCACAGUGCAGGUGGAAAAAGUAUGUGAACCCCUAGACUAAUGACUUCUCCAAAAGCUAAUUGGAGUGUGAUGUCAGCCAACUGGAGUCCAAUCAAUGAGAUGAGAUUGGAGGUGUUGGUUACAGCUGCCCUGCCCUAUAAAAAACACACACCAGUUCUGGGUUUGCUUUUCACAAGAAGCAUUGCCUGAUGUGAAUGAUGCCUCACAUAAAAGAGCUCUCAGAAGACCUAUAAUUAGGAAUUGUUGACUUGCAUAAAGCUGGAAAGGGUUAUAAAAGUAUCUCCAAAAGCCUUGCUAUUCAUCAGUCCACGGUAACACAAAUUGUCUAUAAAAGGAGAAAGUUCAGUACUGCUGCUACUCUCCCUAGGAGUGGCCGUCCUGUAAAGAUGACUGCAAGAGCACAGCGCAGACUGCUCAAUGAGGUGAAGAAGAAUCCUAGAGUGUCAGCUAAAGACUUACAAAAGUCACUGGCAAAUGCUAACAUCCCUGUUAGCGAAUCUACAAUACGUAAAACACUAAACAAGAAUGGAUUUCAUGGGAGGAUACCACAGAGGAAGCCACUGCUGUCCAAACAAAACAUUGCUGCACGUUUACAGUUUGCACAAGAGCACCUGGAUGUUCCACAGCAGUACUGGCAAAAUAUUCUGUGGACAGAUGAAACCAAAGUUGAGUUGUUUGGAAGAAACAAGUAACACUAUGUGUGGCGAAAAAAAAAGGCACAGCACACCAAAAACAUCAAAACCUCAUCCCAACUGUGAAGUAUGGUGGUGGGGGCAUCAUGGUUUGGGGCUGCUUUGCUGCGUCAGGGCCUGGACAGAUUGCUAUCAUCAAAGGAAAAAUGAAUUCCCAAGUUUAUCAAGACAUUUUGCAGGAGAACUUAAGGCCAUCUGUCUACCAGCUGAAGCUCAACAGAAGAUGGGUGUUGCAACAGGACAAUGACCCAAAGCAUAGAAGUAAAUCAACAACAGAAUGGCUUAAACAGAAGAAAAUACGCCUUCUGAAGUGGCCCAGUCAGAGUCCUGACCUCAACCCGAUUGAGAUGCUGUGGCAUGACCUCAAGAAAGCGAUUCACACCAGACAUCCCAAGAAUAUUGCUGAACUGAAACAGUUCUAUAAAGAGGAAUGGUCAAGAAUUACUCCUGACCGUUGUGCAUGUCUUAUCUGCAACUACAGGAAACAUUUGGUUGAAGUUAUUGCUGCCAAAGGAGGUUCAACCAGUUAUUAAAUCCAAGGGUUCACAUACUUUUUCCACCUGCACUGUUAAUGUUUACAUGGUGUGUUCAAUAAAAACAUGGCAACAUUUCAUUCUUUGUGAGUUAUUAGUUUAAGCAGACUGUGAUUGUCUAUUGUUGUGACUUAGAUGAUGAUCAGAUCACAUUUCAUGACCAAUUUGUGCAGAAAUCCAUAUCAUUCCAAAGGGUUCACAUACUUUUUCUUGCAACUGUAAGUGCAUUUUUCCUUAUAUUUUUCUUUCUUUCCCACAAAAAAAAGCACUUUAUUUUUUUCCUGAAAUAUCCAUGGAGCUUGUACAUUCCAUUCCAUUCCAUUAAACAAGCCUCCUUAAAUAGUCUUUGUAUGUCUACAGUAUUUGAUAGCUGUGGUAUGUGCUAAUGGAUAAUUACUUUGGAAGAUGCACUUUUUAGAUAUCUCCCUGAAUACCUGCAUCCUAUCUGAACUGAAGCACAAAUGAUUGAAAAUAACAUGGCACAACUUAACAAAUUAAUGUUUUUUUAAGCUUUAAACAGAGCAUGUACUGUUCAGUGGUUACAUGGACCUUAUUUCAAAUACAGCUCAAGAUUUUUAAAGAAAACUUGCAUAUUGUAACAUAAAAUUUUACGUGCUUGCCUUGAAAUAGACAGGAUAAAUUUGGCACAAAGCCUGGGCACGUGUUAUGUUAGUGUGAGAGAAGCCAGCAAGUAGCUUUCCAGCUGUUGUGGAAUUGUAGUUCCUCAAUCUCAGCCAGCAUUGGACUGGAGUGGUGUCUACGUACAUUGUUGGAAACUGGGGCAUUGCUGGGUUGUGGGUGGCAAAAGGACCUGGAUCCCCAAUAGAGGGCCUGAAAAGCCGCAGGACUAAUUUUACACCAUUUCUUUGCUAGCCACAAGUCCCUGUAAUACUGAGAAAGAAAUAAGACAUUUGUAUAAUUUGAGAUGGUGCCACUUUCAAUGCACCAUAUUUAGAAUCUAUCACACAGCAUAGUGUGGGGCUAUUGCUGGACAAGCAAUGUUUUAAUGCAGUGGAGGCAAGAGUUAGCACAGCAUGGUUUGGGGUUCAUACAGCAUGUGUAAAGAGUGAAGUUCAUGUAAUACUCUGAGUACAGGCAAAGGUAACUUGAUAAAUGUUAUUUAAACAUUCCUCCUGUCAAGAUCUUACCUGGAGAUGGGAGUCCGAAGUGGUAAGUUAAGGCACACCCUUGCAGUUUAACACAAACCGAGGAGACUCUAGGAAGAAAUCUCCAAGAUUGUGAAACAAUGCACUGGGGCUUUGCAGGAAAAGUACUCCUGGAUACGCAGAACAGACAAGGGAAAUCCAAUAGAGUAGGCAGGUACAGUUCCAAUGAUCAGGGCAGGUGGAAAUGAGGCAAAUACGAUAAACAGUUCCGAAGGUCAAAGCAGGAGUCAGAUGAACGAAGCAGUUUCUAAGACAGGAACAAAACGAUCUGACAAGCAGGAAGUGGCAAGGCAGUGCUUAUAACGGUAGCUAAUUGGCUACUUAACCAGGAACCACGAGCAGGUGUGAAGCAGUCCAGACUUAUAUGAACCCGAGAAGUGGCGAUUAGGUAAGUUCAUUGACUGGCAUGUAAAAGACCCAGGUUCAAUCCCAGCCAGGCCUUGAAAUGUGAUGUCCACCUCUGGCAGUCUGCUUGGCACGGUGUGACCUGUGACACUUCCCAACAGUCCUGCUUUCGGUGGGACAGUCCUGAUUUUGGGGUCCUGUCCCAAUUUAGUUCUCUGCUGAAGUGCUCUCUGCAGUGUACUGAUGCACGGUGCAAGCAUGAUUAAUGAUGUUCUCAUGACACCAGAGAUUGCAGGCUAAGAAGCCUCUCCGUAGGGCAAGCGUUCCCCCCACUGGCCCAUUCUACCCUAAGGCCCCCUCACCCCAUUCUGAUUCUUGUUAGGUAUGUUGUAAAGAACACAUUAGAAUGUAGGAUUGGACUGGCUUUAAAUCCACAUAUGUGGGAGGCUGGCCAUCAGGCAAACCAGGCAAAUGCCUAGUAGGACUUGAUGGCCAAGGCGACAGGGGAGAUCAAAGAGAGGUACCUGCUUCUCUGAGAGCCCUUGUUUUAUUUCUUAUGUGAGCUCCAAAGCUUAGGGCUCUCAACAAAAAGUUCAUAGAGUUCUUCUUCAUGUGAUCGUGGGGUUACCUACCUCUGCGUGCUUCUGCACUUCCUCCAGCAUUAUCUGCUUGCAUAUUGCCAUUGACCUAUCAGCUGAACUAAGGAAAACACUGUCAACAAGUGGUCUCAUUCCUUCAUCAGGGUAUUGCAAAAUAUCCUCUUCACCCACAGCAAUCAACUUCAGUCCAACCACUAUCCCUCUCUGCACAUUCCUCAUUCCCUAUCACCUACUAACCCACUACAGAACCUAUUCCCUCCAAAAUCUUACAGAACCUUUGCUCCUCACACAUCCUCUAUAGCUGCCCCACACUACAGCAUUUCCCUCUUCGCACACACACUGCCCUAUAAUCCCUCACACUCUACAUCUUUUGUUUCUCAACCUCACAUACUUCAGCCCCAAACCAUAUUCACAUAUACUACAUCCCAAAGAUCCCAAUGCACGGACAUGACGCACUGUAAACAGCACCAUUGACAUACACGCAUCCCCACAAGCAAAACCCCUCAAUAUGUGCAAUACAUCAAGCAGCAUCCCCACAAACUCAAUAUUGCAUACAAACACAACAUCACAAGCAGCAUUCCCUCACACACAAUCCAUAAGCAGCCUCCACACAAGCAACCCCAAACAGCUCCACAGGCAGCACACAGACAACACCACAGGCAGCACACACAAAACAUUAUUUAUCAGCCCUGUCCUUUUAGUGAGACACCAGAAACAAGUCCCCAGCACCUGCAGACCAAGUGUGUCAAUUUGCUUAACGAAAGCACUUCAGCAGAGCUCUGCACACAGUUUGUUCUGGAAGAGCAUUGAAUUGAUUAUAUCUCUGAUAAUUCAAUUAUUGGUUUGUGGCAUUGAUAGCAUGCAGGCUAAAUGAACACAUUAAUCAAGAAUAUUGCUCAAGAAAAUUAAAUAAUACAGAAAGUGGAUGGUUGAUCUAGAAUAAGAUGUGAAGGGUUUGCUGGUGUGUUUUAAAUCACAGUGGGAGAACAUAUGGCAUACGAUCUUAAAAGGUUUCAAGCAUUUAAAGCUAUAAAACUGAUGUGGAGUUUCAUGUUAAAUUCAUUGUUCAGUGUUUAAUUCAUUAAGAGCUCAUUUCCGUGCUUGUCGGUGAUCACUAAAAUGUUGUUAACAAUUACUGGCAGUUUCCAACGGUACAAAACAAAAUGCUCAACACGUGGUAAUUGGCAGCUGCUGAAUGUUUUCCAUAGAGAUUAAUAUUUAGGGCAGCCCUUAAAACUCCUGGCACCCAAUUUGCUAAUCCCAUUUCUACCUCCACUCUGCAGAUACGUACCUACACACCUGCUCCCAAAUACUCACAGACACAGUGAAACGCACUUACAGACACAGUGAAACGCACUCACAGACACAAAUUGUCACGUAUUCAUCCGCUUAUAAAAAUGUGGUUAAUGACAUUUACUGUCCACACAGGAAAAGUUGUGCCGAGCAGCAACCUAAUCCCCAGAAGGGUUAAUGCUGAGCAGCAAUUAUGCAAAUGAAACCUGGUAACUGACUUUGGGGUCAAAGGCCGGUUACAGCCUAUCAGAUCUAGAGGAGGGGUAUAUAAGCCCAGUUCUCAUCCUGCUCAGUGCCCUGUCGUGGUUUCCUUUGUGGCUGUCCGAGAGCGCGUUCCUGCUCAUAGUUUUCUACCUGGUUUUUGACUUUGGCUUUGUUUAUUGACUUCUCUAUAUUCUGGUAUUCUGACUCCUGGCUUUCCUCAUCGCUGCGUCCCUUUCUGUGUUCCCUGACCUCGGCUAGUAUUUUUGACUAUUUAUGUACGUUAAAUCCGGCCAUACGUUACUUAUUUGUCAUCCGUGCUAUACAGUUCUACGUGCUGGAUCAAACAGUAAUCCUGACACAAAUAUGCAUUCCAGUACCCUGUUUUAUAUACACAGACAGGUAUAAACUGCCAGGAAGACAGACAUAUAAGGAUACUCACUACCAAACACAUCAAAACGCACUCUCAGGUGCACGCCUGGAUACACAAUACCAAGCACACACACAGAUAAUGAUACACACAUCUCACUAAACCUGUUAAUUCACAAAGAUGUAAAGAGCAAAAGACAACUUUAGCUGCAAACUAAUACCCUACAUUGAAAAUUAUAUAUUUAUUGUGUUUAAUACAUUUAAGACCUAAUGCAUAUUUGUAAACACGUUAUAUGUAGCUUUCAAUAAAUAACUGACAUUUGGCAGGUCAGGUGUACACACAUUCGGAGGAGGAGCACUUGUUAAAGAGCUCACAAGUGAAGUGAGUAAACUUUUUAUAGUAUUCUGGUGUAGUUUCUUUAGCAACGAUUAAGAGAAUGCACUACAUGACGGUCUGUAUCAGUGGAAGCAUGCUUGAGUGGAAUGCACAUCUUGAACAAAUUUUUGUAAUUUUCUCCGCCAACACUUGCUGGCUGAUGAAAAUUACAGUGCUUUAAGAUCUGUGUUUUUACCAUCACUUUUAACUUUUUAUUAAGCUUAAGAAUAGAUUAAGGUUUAACUAAAACUUUAAACAAACUUUUAUGAUCUCCACUAUGAGCAAACUCUAUCAAUACGUUGCAAAAUAUUAAACAUUUAAAAUAAAAAAAUAGUUUUUUUCCUGUCUGCGAAUGUGAAAGAUCAUUGUUGCUGUACGUAUUAAGAUGACAUCGCCAAGUAGAAUGAUGUAUUUCAUUGGACCAGUCGAUAAAAAGGAAAAUUACAUAAGUCAGAGUAAACCAACACCAGAUGUGAAAUAGAACAAAUGCAAGGAGGGGGCAGUAAGAGCUACAACAGAGAAGAAUAAAUAUUAACCUUUUAAUAGCAAUCACCAAGAUUCUAUAUGGUAACUUGCCAAAUGCUGGUUGCAAUUUUUUUAAUAUCAAUUAUCUUGAAAAAAAAUAGACAUAAUGCAACAAAGAUUUCUAUUGUGAAAUGUUAGGGAAAAAAAUCUACAAUUAAAUAACAAAAACAAACUUAAAAAGAGGUCAGCUCCAGACUGUUUAUCUCAACAUAAAUAUCCAGCCCCUUUAUCUCACUAGUGUAUCUGACCACGUUUUUAUAUUACCAGUAAUAAACACCCUCUCCAUAAUAUCCUUUACUAGUGAAUAGCCCACUACUUUGUAUCUCACCACUAGUGAAUGUCCAGCUUGGUAUAACACCACUAGUGAAUAUCUAACGUCUAUAAAUUUCCACUAGUGAAUAUGCACGAUCACUAUAUGUCUUACGAACCCCAUCCCUCUCCAGUCGGCUUGUGACUUCCUCCAGUGGGUGAAAGGGUCAAUAAGCACACUAGAUAGGCACUAGACAAAAUGAUAGAAAAAAAGCCCUCUUACCACCACCACCCACAACUCUUCUAGUAUGAAAGCUGCCACUACUGAGACAAUUUAUCUUUAAAACCAUACAGAACACAAUUUUGCAGAUAGGUCUAUGAAACCACAGUAAUAUGAUGUCACUUCAGUAACAUGAUUCUUAUAUCAGACAAAGGAAAAACUUCAUAAAGAAACAUUUAUAAAGAACAAAAAUAGUCACAGUGUAUACAUAUAAAACAUUGUUUUACGUACACCAACCAAGAGAUAAAAAAAACAAAACAAACAAAAAAUAUUACCAAAUCCUUAAUACUCACUAACUUAAAUUUUUUUGUCAAAAUAGAUCUUUGGUAAGGAAAAUGUUAAUCCACUACAAAUUGAAUUUGGCUUUCAAAAUGGAUUAAACAAUUCUUAAGGUUUCAACAAGGAUUAUAUCCACUUUUCUGCUACUGGAGAGGGUAGGAAUUCCAGUUAUAUGAGAAACAAUUAAUGUAUUCCAAACCCUGGCUGAAAAUGUACCAUGAUAUAUACUAUAUAUAAAGCAAAAACAACAUCCAAAAUCCUUCGAAAACUUUAAGUGAGUGACCCUUCAUUGAACUUUCAAUACUUGAAGCUUACAACUUAUUUGAUACGGGUCUGGUAGUAAUAAAGAUCACUACUUUAAUCUAUUUGGUUUACAAACAAAGAUAAAACAUUAAACUUGUGUAGGGCUAAAUAUUUCAGUUCUUCCUACACUUUAGCAAAAUUGUUUUUUUUUAAAUAUUUUCUUUCCCUCAUGCACGCUCUACCAAUAUCCUUCCCCCACCAUUUAUACUUUGCAAGAUGCCCUUUUUGGAGGCAAAUGUUGCUAUGAUGGCACAAUACAGUACCCUCAACCCUAUGCCUUACGUGUGCUAAAGAUGCAUGUGGAUUUGCAUAAUUUGCAGUGGAAGCUGUCACAAUGUUAGCAUUUGGUUCAUUAAUGCUAAUGGAAAUGUUGAUGCUGCAAGUGAAGGGGAUGUUGAUAGUGGUGGUAGUAGUAGUGGUGGUGAUAAUGUCGACAAGGGGUGAGAUACUGGUGCCAGUGGCUGCAAGUGCAGCAGAGACAGAUGGACUUGAAGAUGGUGGACAAGAUGCAGGAGGUUAGUGCAUACUAGCUGUGGCAGAAAAUUCAGAGUUGCUGAAUGUUCUCUCCACAUUCUCCUCUAACUCAGCAUACUCAUCGUUGAAUAUUGCUACUGGGCUAGAGGUAAAAGUGUUAUGUCUGUAGUGCUGGUGAAACCAUUACCAUCACUGGAAUUAUCACCUCCACAAAGACAUUGAGAACACACAUUUGGUACCCUGUUGUAAGUCCUCACUAAAGAGUGGCUCUGAUGACCCUCAAAAAGUAUAAUCUGCUGUGCUUUCCAUUAGUUGCUUUUUGGGGGCACCAAGAAGGAAAAACACUUGAACUAGCCAUGGAAGAAGUUGCCUCCUGGGUUUUGAAUUGGAUAUAAAGGACCUGCUGCUAAUCCAGUUAUCCAAAGGCUGAAUACUACUAAUAGUGGUGGUGCUUUUGAUUAAUGACCAGCUCUAAACAAGAUAUUUUGUUUUGUUUUUCCUACCCCCAAAAAGAUUUGCUUUCCUCUAAACAGUAUACCAAAAAAACUUAACAUUUUUAUAUUGGUAAAAUAGUCUUACAAUAUGAUGAAUGACAAAAUGCCUGCCAAGUGCUAAUCUCAUAUCUCCCACUCAAAGGUUUCUCUAGUGGUUAGUGGUUUUUACCACUCCAACACAGGCUAAGCAAAGGGUAGAUCACUGCUGGUCUCUCUCCUUCGGUAGUGUCGAUAGUGUCUCCCUUCAAAAUGUCUAGUAUCCUGCUUGGAAAUAUAGUUAUUUUAUUGCUUUUUUUCUUAUCUUUUCCAUGAGUAACUGUACUUGCUCUAUUAUCUCUUUACUUGAUCUGUGAAUAAUAUCAACAUUUACUGGCUGCCCCCUAACCAUCAAUCAUCUUAAUUGAUGCCCCUUGAUUGGACAGGAGAUUCAGCACACAUAAUUGGGCAUAAUACUUGUCCAUCAUUGGAAAGUAAACCGAAACAAACAGCCUCUUCCCUAUUCCAUCCCCAUUUUUUUCUGGUACCAGUAAUGGCACUUUGAAUGACUAAUGAAACCAAGAGAGAUUCUGGCACGUGGUGAUUCAGAAAUCAAAACUUAUUUUGAUUACCCGAUUGGGCCAAAUUUCAGUUUUGCCCAAAAUGAAUCUCCGAUUCUAUAACGCAUGCCUUAAUUUCUAUAUCAUAUGUAUAUAACAAUUUAUAAAAAUAUCUAACUCAUUGCUUUUCACACAGUACACCUCAUAGGUCUUUGAUAAAGUAAGCCAUGAGGUCUUACCAUACUGUAAUCAGAUACUUUCUAAUGGAUAACCAUGCCAUGCAUUCACACAAAUCACAUUAGUUCCAUAUCCUUUGACAAUGAAUCAAUGGAUCCACAACACAUUGACAAUAUCUUUACAAUAAAUGAAUGUCUACUGGGCAUGACAAAUUCCACCAGUAAAUAUGCACAUCUCUGCACAUAUGCUGGUGAAUAUCAGAUAAUUCCUUACUCAUCUCCUGUAGUGAAUGCAAUAGCUGUGUUUGAGUCUACGUAAUCUCCCAAUACAUAUCCACUGGCAAAUAUAUGAUGUAUCUAUAUUUUCACUAAUGAAUGCCAGACAGCUCUUUAUAGGUCAACUAGAAUGUCUGACACACAAUAUAAUUUUAUACUGAAUACCACUAGUAAACGCAAUUACUAUUCAUAUAUUAAGUAAAUUACUGCUUAUAUUUUUACAAUGGCAUCUAUCAAGGGGUGUGAUAUAGUAGGCAUCAAAUGAACAGUUAGUUCUUGAAUUUCAUCUGUUGGAAACAGGAAAACUGGUCAAGCGAAAAGAUCUGACUUUGACAAGGGCCAAAUCGUGAUGGCUAGAUGACUGGGUCAGAGCAUCACCAAAACCACAAGUAUUGUGGGGUGUUCCCAACAUGUAGUGGCUAAUACCUACCAAAAGCGGUGCAAGGAUGGACAACCCGUGAACUAGUGUCAGGGUCAAGAGAGCCUAAGUCUCAUUGAAGCACAUGAGCUAGGCUAGUGGAGGCUAGCCUGUUUGGAUCAAAUAGAAGAGCUACUGUAGGCCAAAUUGCUUAAAAAAAACCAAAAAACUUAAUGCUGGCCAUGAUAGAAAGGUAUCAGAACACACAGAGCAUCACAGUUUUUUGCGUAGCACCAGACUAGUCAAAGUUCCCAGGGUGAUCUCUGCACACCCCUGAAAGCACCUUCAAUGGGGAUGUAAGCACCAGAUCUGGAUCAUAGAGCAGUGGAAGUAGGUUGUCUGGUCUGAUGAAUCAUGUUUCAUUUUAGAUCAGGUGGAUUACUGGGUGCCUGUGCAUAGUUAACCUGGGAAGAGAUGGCAGUGUGCUGCAAUGUGGGAAGAAGACAAGUCAGCAGAGGCAGUGUUAUGCUCUGGGCAAUGUUCUGAUAGGAAACCUUGGGUCUUAGAUGUGGAUGACACUUGCCAUCUACCUAGAGAUUGUUGCUGACUAUGUACACCCUUUCAUGGCAAUGGUGUUCCCUGAUUGCAGUGGUCUCUUUCAGCUCAAUAAUGCAUCAUACUACACUGCAAAACUUCAGUAAUGCUUUGAGGAUCAUGACAAAGAGCUCUAGGUGUUGUCUAAGCUUCCAAAUUCCUCAGUCUGAUUAAGCAUCUGUUGGAUGUGCUAGAACAAAUCCGAUCUAUGGUGGCCCUAUCUCACAUUACAUGCAGUACUUAAAGAAUCUGCUGCUAAUGAUUAGUGCCAGAUAACAAAAGACAUGUUUGGAGGUUUUGUGGAAUCCAUGUCUCAACACAUCAGAGCUUUUUUGGCAGUAUCAGGGGGACCUAUACAAUAGUAUGCAGGUAGUUUAAAUGUUGUGGCUGAUCAGUGUAUAGCUCCACUGGUGACUAUUCAAUCUCUAUCUAGAUCUUAAUUAGUAAAUGUCAAAUAGAUCUGUAUAUCUACACUAGUCAACAUUGAUUGAGUGGAAUCUUUUUUUUUUUAGUAGCACAAAUAACUAGAAUAUUUAUUUUAAUGUUUCUCAUUCAUCAGGGUCAUUUUGGUUGGGUUUAUAAUGCAUUAUAAUGCAAAGUAUUGCCCCUAUGUUUUGACUUCCAGAGGAAUCGUUAUCAAUGUGCUAAAUCUAAAGGACCUUUAUUUAAAUAAUUAUUAGCAAUCAAAACAAAAUAAAAAAAUACCAUCAUUUAUCCACACUAGAAAAUCCUGAAACUAUAAUGGCUGUUGCCCCAUAAAAAUACAUUUUAGGGCAACGUGCUAGUGUUAGACCGCAGCUUUCUUAAAUGCAGGAUAAUUAGAGAACUGCACAUGCCCAAAAGAAUGAAUAUUGCAUUCAAGCUGUUUAUGCAUUCAUGUGUCAAAGCAAUUUGUUUUAUAACAAGAUCUUUUAAACAGUUCCUCAGAGUUUAUAAUGUUUUAUCAAUUCCUUUACACUAAAAACUUAUUUUGCACGAUGCCUUUGACAUUUUGCCCCUUUUUUCCCCCCAUAGUUGUUCAGGUUUUUAUGUAACUGGAGCAUUAAUCAGUCAGUAAUGCCUCAUAAAACUCUAUAAUAAACAUGAAACUUGCAUCAACCUGAGGGGUAUAACGGGUUCUAUAAAACUCAAGUUCAUAUCUACGUUCUCUUUCCAAAGCAGCACAAAAACAGUCCCAGGGGGAAAAAAAGCAAUAAAAUAAUCUAGAUGUAUACUGAAACAUUACCUACACCCACCCAUCACCCAACUUUAGCCUAAUGAAGCAUUUUUGGUGUAUAGAACAUGCCCCUGCAUCCUCACUGCUCAAUCCUCUGCCAUUUAGGAGUUAAAUCCCUUUGUUUAUGAACCCUAGUCACACCUCCCGGCAUGUGACUUGCACAGCCUUCCAUAAACACUUCCUGUAAAGAGAGCCCUAUUUAGGCUCUCUUUAUUACAAGUUCUGUUUAAUUAAGAUUUUCUUAUCCCCUGCUAUGUUAAUAGCUUGCUAGACCCUGCAAGAGCCUCCUGUAUGUGAUUAAAGUUCAAUUUAGAGAUUAUUUAAGGUAAAUUACAUCUGUUUGAAAGUGAAACCAGUUUUUUUUUUUCAUGCAGGCUCUGUCAAUCAUAGCCAGGGGAGGUGUGGCUAGGGCUGCAUAAACAGAAACAAAGGGAUUUAACUCCUAAAUGACAGUGAAUUGAGCAGUGAAAUUGCAGGGGAAUGAUCUAUACACUAAAACUGCUUUAUUUAGCUAAAGUAAUUUAGGUGACUAUAGUGUUCCUUUAAGAAUUGCUCUGUUGACUUUAGGAAGAGUGAGUGAUUUAUUAUCAACCUCAAAAAUAUACAAUUUAGAAAUGCAGGAAGUCAGUAUACAUCCAUUCCUGAAUUCCACAAAUUCUUUGGGUAAUUCCUAACAUGAAUCAUAAGUUUACAACAGUCUGUAAACAUGAUUAAUCUCCUCUUGCUCUGUGUAUCUGACAUUUAAAAUUAAAAGUAAACUUAUUAGACAACUGUUAGACCUGCUGGACGGCUCACUGUUGAUUUUCGUGCUUAUGUGAUUGUAUGAAUUAAUGAUGGAUGCGAUAGGUACGUGCCUAGAGCACAGAGCACCAGUUUAGUUUAAGGACUGUAGAUGAGCGCUAAGAGAUAUCCUUUGUUUCUAUUGCUUCAUUUGUUUUAUACAUGUAUGAAUUUGAGAAAUCAAAAUCCUGUAGAAAAUUAAAAAUGGGACGGAAAACAAAGUAUAAUGUUUUCUCCAUUAUUGCAUAAUGAGGUUUAAAACAUGACAUAAUAGGUUAGAUAUGAAUUUGGUACUCCCUAAAUAUUUCUUGUUUUUAUUCUAAUUUAUCCAUAUUUGUAGAUAGAUAUACAAACACGCGAUAGGUGCAAUGGCACUCACUUUUAAAUGCAGACUUUCGUGUAUGGUGCCUGGCCGCUCUAAUACAAGCAAUAUAUAAUUCCAUGAAAUCUCCCAAAAAUGUUGCAUUCACAGGACUUGUUGCUAAAUUUUUUUGUUGAUAUCUGAUAUAGAGAGGAUUAUUAUUUGUCCUGAAGAACGUUCUGUUUGGGGACUGAAACGUCGACAUGGAUAUUGAAACUUGGAUGUUUUAAUUUUAAUAUGAAGGAAUAAAGGAAUUAAGCAAGACCGUGAGUGCAGAUAUAUCUACAAAUACAUGCAUCGAGCGUUAUUACUUUUGGAUUUGUCAUAAUUGCAAGUUGUUUUUUUUGUUUUUGUUUUUUAAAUAUGAGCUUUGCAUAUUGAACUCAUGAAAAACUCAAAAUAGUCCAUGUGAGAGUGGAAAGCAUAUAUCUAGUUAAAGAACCGCCCAUGAGCUAAUUGCUUUUGUCAAGCUGAAAAUCGGGAGGUGUUCGCUUUAGAAAAAAAAAUAUAUAUAUUUUUGUUUAUAUUUUAGAUUUGAACCUUUUACAAGUUUACCAAUACCAUUCUAUAAAAACACAAAUGAGUUUUCACCAAAGUAACAUCAUCCUUCUCUGCAUUUAAGAGUCUACAACAAGUUCACCACCCUGCCUGUAUAAUAUAUGAGACAAAACGAGCGAACUGCAGACAGACCUUAUAGCUAUUCUUGACAGACAGACAGACCAGAAUAUAUUCACCAUGAUACACUUUAACUAACCCCAUAAUCAUUAUGAUUGAUUUAUAACGUGCUGACAUUUUGCGGACACUCGUGUACAAUAGCAAGAAAGAUGAUGAAUGAUCCCACAAGCAAAUUAAACAUCUACAUGUUUUUUUGUUUAAAAUCUUGUUUCAUUUAUAAUAAUUCAUUAUACCUUUCUACUGGACAGAUGGCUUUUGUACCUAUGGAUCAUAUGAGAAUGUGAGGGAUUACAAAAAAAAAAGUUGGAAAGCAGUCUUUCCAGAAAACACUACUUUUAGAUCAUAGUGACUGUUAGUUUCUAUUUGUUUCCAAAUGACAAAACAUUUAGACAGAUGUCAUCAUUUCCUAAAAUGAUUCAUGUCUGGAACCUUUACUGUUUUUCUCCCAGUUCAUUAUACAUACAGAAAAUUUUAUGGUAUUGUUUCCGGACAAUAAGAAAUAGUUUUUUUAACCAUGUGUAAUGAUUUUUGGAUGUUUGAGGAUCUCCUGUCUCUAUUUACAGGAAUUGGAUUACGCCUUUAAACAAGACUAAACAAACAAUUACUAUACAAGGAGGGUGACAUUUGGAUGACUCUCAACAUUUGUCAAACAUUAUCAGCAAAGUUGUGCCUUUUUAAGGAAUUGCUAUAUAAAAAUAAACUUUGAAGCAUGUACUGGCUUGUCUACUAGUAACUUGGUGGCUCGGUUAGCCUCCCUUUUGCAUUUGUCCAUCUGUUAUUGUUCUUUUUUGCAUUGGUUAAAUAGAGGACUACAUGUGUUUUGCAUUGUACUAUAAAAUGUCUCAUUCCCUCUAUUUUCAAAAUGUCCAAAAAGUUAAAAAAAAAAACUUUGGCACUGAGACACCUCUCCACGGAUCUGUCUUUAAGGUUUUUUCCCCCAAGCUAAAAGUAGCAUCUAAAAUCUGUACUUCUAAAAACAGUGCCCUGUGUCCUAGUAGACUUUUAAUGUUUGGUGUGGUAUCUGUAAGUAUGAUAACUAUCAAGGCUGUACAAAUGGAGAUGUAAACCCUUUGAAACAAGGUCAACUCCAGUAUGUAAAGGACUAGUUAGUUUAAUAUAUGGGACAUAUCUUGCACACAGUGUGUGUGUGUUUUGGUUAUAUGUUCCCCCCUCCAUUUCAAAGCAUGGAAUGUGAGAAAGCCCCCUAUCAAGAGUGGGCUGCCUGCUUCUGUGUGGUCAGGCACUUACGAUUUACUUAUACUAAAACACUUUUGUAAGGCCCUGAUUUAGUAUUUUACCAUUUGAUGUUGUUUUGCAUCAGGAUAUUUAGUGUGUGACAAAAGCAUUUUUCAACAGGGGACUAUGAAAAAAAUUCUGUGCAUUUGAGAUUCCAAUGUCCACUUACACAGCUACUUAAAUUACAUGUUUAGCACUCCAUUGGACAUAUUUAAAAAAAUAAUUUAAAAAAAUCACUGUUUAGUACAUAUAUCUCCAGUGAAUACAUGCAUGUAUUCAUUGGGGGUAUAUCUUAAAAGAGCUUGUAAAAGCUGCAGAUAUUAUGAUCUUCACAGGGAAAAAUUCAAAUCAGAGAUUUCUCAUUAAGAAGCCUCCUACUUUGUGAUCACAUGCACGCACGUCUGGUCUGAGAGAGAGGCAGGCACACUCAAGUAGAUUGUGCCAGUCACUUCUGUUAGGGGAGCUAAUGAAAGUAGGAAGAAAUUCUCCCUGGCUGUUUGACAGCCGGGGGGAGGGAGAGGAUGGGGGGGGGAGGUGGUUACCUAGUUAAUUUAAAAAGAAAUAGAAUGGAAAUCAGCACUUUUAUAAACUGGGGUUAAACUAUAAUACUUCACACCCAUAAAGCACUUAAACAAGCUGAAGUCCUUUUUAGGGUGUGAAGUGGUCCUUUAAUAGAUUCACUGAACUGAGCACAGCAUAUUAGAAGUUAUGCUGAAAAUAUAGUGAAAGCCAUUUCUUCGUUCCAAAAUGGCGAUCAGAUUUCUCCCUGGACCAGUUUAUCUUAAGUACUAUGUACUCACUGGACCAGUUUAUCUUAAGUAGUAUGUACUCACUGGACCAGUUUAUCUUAAGCACUAGUAUUAUCUUUAUGCCCUGGUAUGCUGAGAUGUCAGAUACAUCUAUUAGAUGGAACUAUUUCCCUACAGAGUUACUUUAAAUCUUCAGAAGAACUCUUACCUAUGCUGUGGGAAAAUCUUAUCUUGAGUAAUGUUUGUACAGUUCUGUUAAUGAAUAAGUCAGGGAAUAGUUUUUAUUUCCCUGUAUGUUUGUGUAUAUAUUCCACAAGUACAAGAAUUUUUCUUUAUUUUAUAUCUUUCAUUAUUAAAUACCACUUUACUAUGAGAUUUAUACUAAAUAACAUGGCAAAAUAUUGAUAGAUCACAAUUACAGAAACACAAUACACUAUAUUAAGUAGACAAUUGUGGCAUGAUAUAUUUUUAUAAAAGAUUAAUUCUAGCAAUGAUAUGGUUGAUCAGUAUAAAUUGCAUAUAAAAAGAAAGCGAGUGCAGACUACAGAGGCUUCUGUGAGUGAAGUAGAUAAUAUGCAUUUAUUGUGCUAUUUACAAGAUAAAAGAAGACUUGAGGCCUUACAGUUUUGCAAUAAAGUGAUAAGCUUCAGUUCUGGUUUAUAUGUUUUAUGCAAUACGCUUGGCUGCAAUACACAAUUGAAUAGUAAAAUAAGUCAUAUUAUAUAAGGACGUAAAAUGUUAUACAAUUAUUCUAGCCAAGAAUCCUGGAAGAUUAAAAACAGUCUGGUUAUUACAAUUAUUAUAAAUCUCUUUAGUUUGGAAAAAAAUGGCACAUUAUAGGGGAUAAGAUAGCUUUAUACAUAUAAUUUCGGGAGUCAAUGUCUGGAAAUCUAGUCACAAAUAGAAUUAUAUAUAGAAUAAGAGUUAGACUGGAAGAAAGGAGAUUUUGUAUAAGGCAAAGGAAAGGUUCAUUUUUUUUACAGUAAUAAUAAGGAUCUGGAAUUCUCUGGUGGAAUUCUGAGGUGGUUUUAUCAGAGUCUAUACAGAUGUAUAAACAGCAAUUGGAUAAAUACUUGCAAAAGUAUAAAAUAUAGGGAUAUAAAUUUUAAUUAAUGGGGUAAUAGCUUCUUGAUCCAAGCAGAUAUUGGACUGCCACUCUGGGGUCAAGUAGGAUUUUUUCCCCUAGUUUGUUGCACAAUUGGAAGUGCUUCAGACUGGGUUUUUUGCCUUCUUUUGGAUUAACAGCAAAAAUCAAAUGUGAGAAAGGCUAAAAUAGAUGGAUGCAUGCCUCUUUUCAGCUAUGUAACUAUUCUAAGCUCGCUAAAUACUUGUGGAUGCAUGUCAUCCGACUCUGGCUUUUUUUUUUAUAUCUUUUAAUUAUCUUUAAAAAAAUUUAAAAAAAAACUGUCAGUGCUUAAAGUGUUGAUCUUAAAUUAUCAGAGUGAUCAAAUAACUUCACAAACCCCUUGAUACUACAUUUACGAUUAUCAUUACAAUUCAGAGAAUAUAGUAAAGCCCACAGUCUAACAGUUUAUUACUACUUAAGCAUACAAUGUAAAAUAUGAAAGUAAUUCCUGCACAUUUCAAAUAGGUUAUUCCACUUCACUAUGGGAAUAAUCUACAAAAAAACAGUAUGUAGCGUGAUACUGACAAUGUAUUGAUGAAAAAAGGUGCAAUUAAAAUCCUUACAAGGUAAAAUUGGGGGAUUCUAAGACUCACCAACAUCACCCAGUGCAACAGAAGUUGGUUACUGCUUUCACCAGUCCUCCUUCUCCUUAGCACAAUGUGCAUCAGAAAUCAUCCAGGGGAAGGUGACCUUAUCACGGGAAAACACCAAGAUUCUGGACCACAGACCUUUAAAUCUGUGUGAUAGGCUAUUAGCAAACUGCUCUCAAAUCUACUUGUUUCACCCAAGCUGGUGGGCACUAUCAAGAGAGAGCACAGACAGUAUCAUCCAAGAGUAUAUAAAUGUCCGGUGUUCCCAGUUCUUAAAGGCAUAUUUCUCACUUCAAUAAAUCUAGUAGGGCAUCCCAUUGUACAGCGCUAUGGAAUCUGAUGGCACUAUAUAAAUAAAAUAAUAGUUAAAUAAGCAGCACUUUCUGAACAUACAAAAAUAAGACAUCUACAUUAAAACAUUAUAUUAAACUAUUUCUUGCAAAUUAUUCUAAAGGAAAUCAAGACAAAAAAAUAAAUACAAAACCACCAAACACAGACAAUUAGAGAUUCUUAACAGAAUGCAUAUCCAAAUUUGUGAGACACAUAAAUCAUUCAAUUCACAUGAAUAAAAUAUCUUCCUACAAUUAGUAGAGUGAGGAAUUCUUGUCACUAUAAUAACAAUUUAAAAAAAAAAAAAAUUCAUGUAACUAAAAUUCUUACCUUAGCAUUAAAUUGGUAAUACAAAACAAUAUAACCAUAAAAUACCUCCAACAAAUAUUUUAAUAUAUUCAUAUAUUUAUACAUACACCUCAAAAAGGAAAUUAGGAUUAAAAAGUUUUACCAUAAAUGUGUGAUAAAAUAUAGAUAAAAUGUAUUCUAUAUCUAUGUGCUAUUUUAAAACGUCAACUCAUGCCUUCAAAUUAAUUCAGAAUCAUUGCCAAUAGUAAUUUAUUUCGACAUUAACCUCCUGGGAACCAAGGAAACAAACUGUCUUCCAAUUUCUUUCCAUUUUUUAGGAAAAGGAAGAGGAAGUUCCCAACAUGCCAGUCUAUCACAUGACAUAUCACUGGAAAGCCUAGAAUGACCUCUUUACGAUACAGCAGGGAUUGAUAGAGUAGCUCAAAAGAAUAGAAGGAGAUGCAUGUGAACAAAAUGUCCAGUACAGAGGACACACGUUAAUGGGUUGGAUCUCAGGAGGUUUAUUCAAUUAAAAAAUAAAAACAAUAGAAAAAAAAAGACCAUAAGAGAAAAUUUAUUUUGCCAAAAAAGAUGCUCAUUAGAUUUGAGUAAAUAUGGAAUUUAUAUGUACGGGCACCUCAAAAAUAGGAUUUGAAAAACCAUAAAAUAUAUUUUCCAGUCAGGUUGCCAGUUUCUUAUAAUAUUGAUUUUUGAUCAGGCAAAAAGAGGGAAUUUUCUGGUUUUACCAUCAAUCCACAUGUUUGUAUACUUAAAUUUAUUGUCAGGGGGUUAUUACAGUAGCUUACAGGAUAUUGGAAACCCACAAAGAGAGCGUCAAAAAUAGACGUACUAUGGCCGGGCAUAAUGUUUUAUAAAGAAUGGGGCAUGAAACUGUCACUUAACAGAAUCAAAUUAUUUUUUCCCAUUGUUAAACUACUAUUUAAAGGAACAUCCAACAAUCAGCCGAAUUGAAAAUUAUCUGAAAUUAGGCCGAUCAACAGAUCAUCUGAAUUCUAUAUAGACUUACAGCAGAUCAUCUGAAUUCCAUGUGGACAUAUAACCGAACUUGCAGAUGUUCAUUUGAUUCUUAUAACUUGCUUAGCCUCUUUCUGCCUAAUCUUAUAGACAAAAUGAUCUAUAAGAUUAGGCAGAAAGAGGCUAAGCAAGUUAUAAGAGCUUCCAAAUCACACACAGAAGAGAAAAUAGCACAGUCAGUAAAAAAGGGGGAUAAAACAUUUUUUAGAUACAUAAAUGAGAAAAGAAAAGUAAAACAAGGAUUAGUUAGAUUAAAAACAAAAGAAGGAAGGUAUGUAGAAGAGGAUAAAGGUCUAGCUGACUGCUUCAAUGAAUAUUUUUGUUCUGUAUUUACAGAUGAAAAUGAAGGAAAAGGACCUCAGUUGAGAAAAAGGAUAAAUGAGUCAUUUAUUACACGUGAGUUUACAGAGGAAGAGGUUCUAUUUCAACUGUCAAAAGUAAAGACAAAUAAGUCAAUGGGACCUGAUGGAAUACACCCAAAGCUAUUAAAAGAGCUUAGUGGUGUACUAGCAAAACCAUUAACAGAUUUAUUUAACCAAUGAUUGUUAACAGGAGUAGUCCCAGAAGAUUGGAAGUUAGCGAAUGUUGUGCCCAUUCACAAGAAAGGUAAUAGGGAGGAGUCGGGCAACUAUAGGCCAGUAAGCCUUACUUCAGUAGUGGGGAAAGUGAUGGAAACCAUGUUAAAGGAUAGGAUUGUUGAACAUCUAAAAACACAUGGAUUUCAAGAUCAGAGACAACAUGGGUUUACUUCAGGGAGAUCAUGCCAAACUAAUCUUAUUGAUUUUUUGAUUGGGUAACUAAAAUUAUAGAUCAGGGUGGUGCAGUAGACAUUGCUUACCUAGAUUUCAGUAAGGCUUUUGACACUGUUGCACAUAUCAAUAAACUGCAAUCUUUAAGUUUGGAUUCCAAUAUUGUUGAAUGGGUAAGGCAGUGGCUGAGUGACAGGCAACAGAGGGUUGUAGUUAAUGGAAUAUAUUCAAGCUUGGACUUGUCACCAGUGGGGUACCUCAGGGAUCUGUACUUGGACCCAUUCUCUUUAAUAUUUUUAUUAGUGAUAUUGCAGAAGGUCUUGAUGGUAAGGUAUGUCUUUUGCUGAUGAUACUAAGAUAUGUAACAGGGUUGAUGUUCCAGGAGGGAUAAGCCAAAUGACAAAUGAUUUAGGUAAACUAGAAAAAUGGUCAGAAUUGUGGCAGCUGACAUUUAAUGUGGAUAAGUGCAAGAUAAUGCAUCUUGGACGUAAAAACCCAAGGGCAGAGUACAGAAUAUUUGAUAGUGUCCUAACCUCAACAUCCGAGGAAAGGGAUUUAGGGGUGAUUAUUUCUGAUGACUUAAAGGUAGGCAGACAAUGUAAUAGAGCAGCAGGAAAUGCUAGCAGAAUGCUUGGUUGUAUAGGGAGAGGUAUUAGCAGUAGAAAGAGGGAAGUGCUCAUGCCAUUGUACAGAACACUGGUGAGACCUCACUUGGAGUAUUGUACACAGUACUGGAGACCGUAUCUUCAGAAGGAUAUUGAUACCUUAGAGAGGGUUCAGAGAAGGGCUACUAAACUGGUUCAUGGAUUGCGGGAUAAAACUUACCAGGAAAGGUUAAAGGAUCUUAACAUGUAUAGCUUGGAGGAAAGACGAGACAGGGGGGAUAUGAUAGAAACAUUUAAAUAUAUAAAGGGAAUCAACACAGUAAAGGAGGAGACUAUAUUUAAAAGAAGAAAAACUACCACAACAAGAGGACAUAGUCUUAAAUUAGAGGGACAAAUGUUUAAAAAUAAUAUCAGGAAGUAUUACUUUACUGAGAGGGUAGUGGAUGCAUGGAAUAGCCUUCCAGCUGAAGUGGUAGAGGUUAACACAGUAAAGGAGUUUAAGCAUGCAUGGGAUAGGCAUAAGGCUAUCCUAACUAUAAGAUAAGGCUAGGGACUAAUGAAAGUAUUUAGAAAAUUGGGCAGACUAGAUGGGCCGAAUGGUUCUUAUCUGCCGUCACAUUCUAUGUUUCUAUGUUUCUAUUUGGGCUUCUGAAUGUCAAAAAGACAAUUGAUGGGAAAAAAGUUGAUUGAUGGAUAUAGUACAGAUACUAAAUGUUAACUUUAUUGACAGACCAAUGGAGAAAUGAUCAACAGUGGGGGAAAACCAGUAAAUGGUAAUAUAGAUACAUACACAUACACAUUUUAUUUAUUGUUUUGGGUGACAAAAGUACUCCUUUCCUUUGGUACCUUGUCUUGGGAUUAGGUUGUUAAACACAGUCUUUUCAGGCUUCAGAGACCCUUCACAUGCUGGAUGAUGAAAAAUCACAUGCUCUUUUUAUUGUGGCUCCAAAAUUCAACUAAAUCCUUGCUCUUCUGAGAACUAACUUACAAAAUAAUAAACUAACUGGGUUGGAUGGCUUGUCCAUUCCCAACAUAAAUAUCCACCUUACUGUUUUAGGUUCUUUCAGAUUUCUCUUUCCACUCACAGGGAGCAAAAACACAACUCUCUUCCUUCUUGGCAGGGGAGUACUUAAUAACACCUGCAAUUAACAAUCUUUUUCAGGUGAGGUAAAUCAGAGUUUCGAAACUCUGGAACUGGACUCCUCAACUGCAGUUUCCAAACAACCUCCAAAGUGUGGAGUGGAGCUCUGGUCCACCCUACUCUCCAAGUGCUCCACCCCAGGGCCCAAACAUACACUUAUAUAAAGUGCAAUAUUCAUUUUAAAACAACACAUUUCUCUUGGGGUAAUCUUACACAUUACACAUAAUCUUCUGCAUUACACCUUGCAGAAUUUGGGGAGAUAUAUACCAUCCAUACAGCACAAUUCCUUGCUUUUUGUCACAAUAUAUAUAUAGAGAGAGAGAGUUCUAAAUUAUAUAUUUAUUUCUGUUUCUUGUAGUUUUCCUUAUGUCAGUAAGUUUUUUUACUUGAUCUGUAAACCAAAUGGCAGAAAAUGCAUCUAUCAGAGUAUUGAUAAUGUAAAUAAUAAUUAGAUUAUUUUUAGCACCGUUCUAGUUCACUGGAAUCAUUUCCCCAAAUAUUUUGCAUGGACAAUAACCUCUACAAUGAUAACUAUGGGACUACGCAAACUACAUUUUGUAAGUUAUAUGGCCAGACCGAAUAUGUGCCAUGCACAGGUCUACUAAAUAUAAUAAUACUGUAUAUUGUGCAAGGAGUCCAUUCGUGCAGUCCCGUCAGUUUUUGUCAAGCUGCUUUUAGGUAGUUUGACACAAAAACCAUCUGUAUGAUUAAGCUGAAAUCAAGCUGUUUGUUAAGCCUUUCGGCACCGACUGAGUCCAGCUCCUGUGUCAGAGAGGAACAUGUGUCCGUUUGGCAAUACCAACUGGGUGUUUAAAGCUGACAAAACACAAUAUUGAAAUUUCACUUUGUUAGUAAUGAUCCCUACCCAGUAUAAAGCAAUGAACAGAAGAUGAUUCACAUAUUGUAUCCAUCAUGUUAAUCUCCAUUCGAUAAUCACAUUUUCACUCCAUCCUGUGUUAUUAUAUGACGAUGGCACCCAUGUGUCAGACAGCUCAUCACUCCUUUUGAGUUAUAACAGAGCACAUCGUCCAAUGCCUCUGGUAAUUAUUAUGUACCAUUUAAAAAAACAAAAACAGAAUUUUUAAAACAUGUUUUUUUUCUGCUAAAGCUGGAGAUCGAGUCAUUCUCACUUUUACUGAGUCAGUUUGAAAAUCUGCAGAUUGCAAAAUAAUUUAAUAUGAUCUACAAACUGAUGACUCCGAAUUAGGCAGUUUAACCUAAAAUAGGAAUGUUUGUGUCAUUUCUUUAACAACCAUUUAUCCUCCUCUACUUGCAAGUCGUGAUGUUUUAUAUCAAUGUCAAUUAAUGUAUACACAAAAUAAAAAAUAUUUAGCCACCACAGUUAGUUCAUUCUCAAUCAGUGAUAGAUGCUUGAGGGUUUAUUUACUAAAAAGUGAAUUGCAGUAAAUUAGAAAGCAAAUUGUAAAAUUGAAACAAAAAUAUCCCAGCUGUGUUUGUAGAGGAGUUGGAGAAUUUCCCCAAAUUAUCCCAAGUGGUAUUAUCAUACAUUUUACCGUUUUUUCAAGUGACUAGAAUCUGUUUAGUGAAUAAUCCUCACAGGUCUAAAACUUUGUAAUUUCCUUAGUUAAAUGUUAGAUGCAUUGAAGUAAUUCUUAAAGAGUUACUCUAACUGAGGGGUGCCCAGAAGAAAGAUCCCAAGAUGUCUGAAAAACUACAGCUUUCAUGAUGCUUUGCCAUUGUAAAAUCAUUCUAAAGGCAGUCUAAAGGCAUGCAAAGCAUCAUGGGGGUUGUAGUUCUACAACAUCUGGGAAUCUACCUUUUGGCACCCCUGCUCUAACCCUUUUGAAGGGGGAGAGAUUUUCUGUGUAAAACUUCCUAUUGGGGACUAUUUAGAAGCCUCCCUUAAUUUGCAGUAAAAUCUGCAAAAUAAAACUUUUACUUACCUGGAAUCCAGCACCUGGUGAAACUCUCGGCACUAAUCUCAUAGAGAAACCUGUGAUUGGACCAUUUUGCCAGCUCAAUGCGCAUGCUCGCGCUCCGGGCUAGCGGGAUGAGGGAAAGGGUAAGGAGGAUUUUUUAAGAAGAAAAAAAAACAAUGUGCAACUGAGGGAGCCAGGAGGGAGUGCAAUGUGGGAGUGAAUAGUAAUCUUCCCCUUGAAGGGGAUCUGCCUGCAAGGGUAGGAUUAUCAUGCUGACAACACAUGCAUUUUAUGCACAGAAUUGACAUUGCCAGCCCAGAACAGAGUUCUUGACUGCCAAUGUCAGGUGGACUGGGUGAACUGGGUGAACUGGGGGAACAACUAGUCCACAGCAUACAGUUAAUAGUGUUUCACUGCUCAUACCGGCUUCUAACACCACGACCACUUCAGAUCACUGAAGUGGUCAUGUUGGAUGCAGUAGAGAGAAAGAGAGAAUAUUCAUUAAGCAGUGAGAUUUAGUAAUUACGCUUAAUAACCGUAUAUUUAACAAAUAUACAUUUGUGAGGUGUGAAAAAAAAAAAAAAUUAGACAUACGUGCUUUUUCACCCUGUAGCUGGGUGUGACAUUCUUAAAGGGACACUAUAGUCAUCUGAACAACUUUAGCUUAAUGAAGCAGUUUUGGUGUAUAGAACAUGCCCCUGCAGCCUCACUGCUCAAUCCUCUGCCAUUUAGGAGUUAAAUACCUUUGUUUAUGAACCCUAGUCACACCUCCCUGCAUGUGACUUGCACAGCCUUCCAUAAACACUUCCUGUAAAGAGAGCCCUAUUUAGGCUUUCUCUAUUGCAAGUUCUGUUUAAUUAAGAUUUCCUUAUCCCCUGCUAAGUUAAUAGCUUGCAAGACCCUGCAAGAGCCUCCUGUAUGUGAUAAAAGUUCAAUUUAGAGAUUGAGAUACAAUUAUUUAAGGUAAAUUACAUCUGUCUGAAAGUGAAACCAGUUUUUCUUUUCAUGCAGGCGCUGUCAAUCAUAGCCAGGGGAGGUGUGGCUAUGGCUGCAUAAACAGAAACAAAGUGAUUUAACUCCUAAAUGACAGUGAAUUGAGCAGUGAAAUUGCAGGGGAAUGAUCUAUACACUAAAACUGCUUUAUUUAGCUAAAGUAAUUUAGGUCACUAUAGUGUUCCUUUAAUGUCACUUUUAUUAUUAUUAAUAUUUAUAAAGUGCCAACAAGUUCCGCAGCGUUGUACAAUAGGUGGACUAACAGCCAUGUAUUUGUAACAAGACAAGUUGGACACACAGGAACAGAGGGAUUGAGGGCCCUGCUCAAUGAGCUUACAUGCUAGAGGGAGUGGGGUAUAGUGACACAAAAGGUAAGCAUAGGGUAGAAAGCUGUUUUAUAGUAUCUGUUUUUUGCACCAGGCAGUCAGCAUACACAAAGCAUACAGAGACAAGGAGAAAUUAAACAAUGUUUCUAUUUCUUCUCUUGAUUUGUAAAGUUUGCCGUGCUUUGCAAUGUUUAAAGGACCACUAUAGUGCCAGGAAAACAUACUCGUUUUCCUGGCACUAUAGUGCCCUGAGGGUGCCCCCACCCUCAGGGACCCCCUCCCGCCCGGCUCUGGAAAGGGGAAAGGGGUUUAAACUUACCUUUUUCCAGCGCUGGGCGGAGAGCUCUCCUCCUUCUCUCCUCCUCUGUUCCGCCCCGUCGGCUGAAUGCGCACGCGCGGCAAGAGCUGCGCGCGCAUUCAGCCGGUCGCAUAGGAAAGCAUUUACAAUGCUUUCCUAUGGACGCUGGCGUGCUCUCACUGUGAAAAUCACAGUGAGAAGCACGCAAGCGCCUCUAGUGGCUGCCAAUGAGACAGCCACUAGAGGCUUUGGGGGAAGGCUUAACCCAUUAAUAAACAUAGCAGUUUCUCUGAAACUGCUAUGUUUAUUAAAAAAUGGGUUAACCCUAGCUGGACCUGGCACCCAGACCACUUCAUUAAGCUGAAGUGGUCUGGGUGCCUAGAGUGGUCCUUUAAACUAGAUUUUGAUUUUGUUUCUUAAAUCUUUAAUAUAAAUUUGAAAGAAAAUAGGUUAACCCAAAUUUCAUGAAAAAUAGGUUAAUCCAAGUUUCAUGAAAAAUAGGUUAACCCAAGUUAUAGGUGAUUUGCGAUGUUUUUAUUCCUUCGAGUAAAUUUUAGAAGAGUGACUGCUUCCCUUUAAUGUAUAAACUCCUAAAUUUCAAACGCUCUAUUUAGUAGGAAAAAAGUCUGAUGAAUGAUUUUUGAAAGGUAACGUUCGUGCCAGCUCCUGAGCUAAAAGCAGUGACCUGGAAAUUCAGAUGUUUUAUAAAACUGCAAAAAAUGCAGCGUCAUGGAAAAUGUUGUAAUAACGAAAAUGUUUAAUCAUCCUCCCACCCCAUGCCUUGCUCACCAUCCUUGCAAUAUCUGUUUACUGUAGCUGAUAACGGCAAGUCCAACGACCGCUGUAGCAAAUAACCAGUGAUGGAUGUCUCUGUAAAGAAGAUAACUUCUCACCUUCCGGAUGAAAAAGACACAAAUAAACCACCAGAAACAGGCAUAGGAAAUCAGAAGUGUUGCACCAGAUUUUUUCACUAAGUCAGAGUUGGUAAAAUAAACAUAGUAAACAAGCAGUAGGUUCUGAAUUAUAGAUGGUGGUUAAAGGAACACUCAACUGGUCAAAUACAAAAUAAAUAUAAAUCACUGUUUAGUAGAGAUAACACAAAUGAAAACUUGCAUGUCUUUAAUUAUGCAUUUUUUCAUUGGGGGUAUAUCUAAAAACAGUUUGAGAAAACCUGCAGUUCUCUUGUCUGCUUCUUUUGCUAUCGCUCCCCUUCUAACCCCGCCCAGACUUUCUGUGGCUGACAAUCAGCUCAAUAAAAAGUAUUUUGCUAAGCAGGUGCUCUGGACAAUUGCGGCCUCUUGAGUUUGGCUCCUCUGAGCUAACCAAACCAGGAAGUAACAGGAUCAGUUGUCUGCUUGAAAACCAGAGGGGUGUAACAAGGUUAAUUUAUAAAAGGGUCAAUUCCUAUUGAAAUCUGCACUUUUUGCAAAAUAGAAAAAGAGGACAGACUCUUCACACAGAAAGCUUUUCAGCAAGCUAAAGUGCUUUAUGGAUCUGUAGUAUCCAUUUAAGUAAGCAAUAUUUUAAGAGAAAUGGAAAUACCUGUUUGUAUAUGUAUCUUAUCCACAAAUAAAGUUUGUUACUUCACCAGAUCCCAUUUAUACACACUAAGGUGCUUCUCAGCCAACUGCUCAGUGUUUUUAAAAAGUAAUAAUCUAAGCUGGGGUUGUUCUUACACUAUGGUGAACUUCAACAUAAAAACAAAACAAGGUUAUUCACGAAAGUGAGAUGUUGGGAAUUCAAAAUAAAUACUAGGGAUGUGCAUGGGCAAAAAAAUUUGGUUGGGAAAUUCGGGUAAGUAAAAAAAAUGUGGCACUUUGUACAUUGGUAAGUAUCCCUCUCUUGCCACCACAACCACUUGCACAUCUGUAUGGCUCCCUAACCCCACCCCUACAUCUAGGGUUAGGUUCCCGGACUGCCACAUCAACCACUUACACAUCUAUAGGGCUCCCAGUGCCAGGAAUUAGCUUAUUGGACUAGAUUCCUGUCAUCAUUCAGGUAAUUUUCACUCUCUCUCUUGCUUGGCCACUUUUCAGAAAUCCAAAGCACUUCGGAAAUUCAGAAGCAUCCGAAUAUCCGAAUUGCCGAAACUCGUCUGAAUUUACAUUCGGAACGAAACGAAUUGCACAUGUCUAGUAAAUACAAAGUGAAUUUCACAUUGAAGGCAAAGCAGCUGAAUUGGAAAUUCCCCCAGUUCAGAUUCUUAACUUUGAAAAUCACUUUUAAUUUCGUAACCAUGAAAUGUUCAGCUUGGGGAUCUGUUUCCCAUUAUCCUUUGAUCAAUUUGUGUAACUUGAUGGAAAGACAAACAGUAAAGAAUUGUUGGAGCACAAAUAUUUAUUCAUUUAUUUAAUUCUAUUCAUCGUACUUUUAAUGUGUCAUCAAAAAGUUUGGAAACUGUCCACAAAGCACACAUAUGUAACCAGAACCAAUUGAAUUUUCAUUGGACAUCAUAAAAAUGUAGGUAAUGUUGUAAAGCUUCCCAAUCUUUGUGGGCAUAUUGCCUGCAUGGACCAAGUAAAGAAACAUAACCUUGACAAAUACAAAUAUUAGAUUAACAAAAAGUAGAAUCUGCUUGCAAUCAACAGGAUUAGCUCAGCAAACAGCAGCUGCCAUAAUUUGUUUGAGUAGGAUAGAACCUUUUGGUAAUAAAGGUUCAGUUCUCGUCGUUGGAAAGAUACAGUCUUUUAUAAAAUCAGAGAGAAACGAAAUGGCACUUUCACUACUUGGUUGCUAUUUCUACCUGUUUAUUAAAAUGUGGACACAUCUGAUGCUAAUUUAACCUUAUACUGUGAAAUAUAUAUAUAUAUAUAAAUAUAUAAAGAAAAAUAAAAAAUUCUUACACUCACGCUAUGUUAUCCCUUGUGUGCCUGGUGCUUAGCCAGGGCUUGAUUGUCCAGAUACCCAAAAGAGGUAGCAGCACUCACGGACUUUAAAAGUUCUAGUCUUUAUUAAUUCAUAUUAAGAAAAAAAAUCACGAUCAACGUUUCAGUCCACCAAACAGGACUUUCCUUAGGAUCAAUACCAUUAAUAAUAUUGAUCCUGAGGAAAGUCCCGUUUGGUGGACUGAAACGUUGAUCGUGAUUUUUUUUUUUUAAUAUGAAUUAAUAAAGACUAGAACUUUUAAAGUCCGUGAGUGCUGCUACCUCUUUUGGAUACCUAUAUAAAUAUAUAUAUAUAUAUAUAUAUAUACACACACACACAAUUAUUCCUCACACAAAUAGAAGGAACAACGGUAAACAUUUAAUUAAUUCUUAUUUAGCAUCCUUUAGUUUGUUUUCAGCCUUAUAAAAUAAUGUAUUUUUUUUAAGAGAGAAAUGAAGACUGCACCAUGUCUGGUUGGCACGGUGAGAACUAUGACAGUUAUGAAUGGGAAAUGUUAGUGUGCCUUAGAAAUAAGUCUCACCAUUAUACAUUUAAAGGAUUUUAAUGUCACCAUUAUAUUUAGGGAUAUCUUUUUUAAUUCAUUGGGUAAUAGCUUCAUGAUGCAAGGAGAUAUCUGACUGCCAUUAUGAAGUCAAGAAGGAACUUUUUCCAAAUUUGUUGCAAAAUUGGAAGCGCUUCGAAUUGGGUUUUUUGGAUCAACAGUAAAAACAGAUGUGAGAAAGGCUGAACUUGAUGGACACAUGUCUCUGUUCAGCUAUGUAACAAUUGAUUUUAAUGGGGUUGUUUUACCAGCAAGGAUAUUAUAACUUAACUAUUUUCUCUUUUCACUAUUAAACUUCUAAGUGAAAUAGUUUUAAGGGAUAAUAUUUUUUUUAUAAUUCUUUUUAAGUUGGCAUAGGACAGACACAGGUACUUUGCCACGACCGUGUAAUCAGGUAUAGACAUAACAUGUAACAGCAUGACAUUAUUCAGGCAUGGCAGACAAUUAUCUUGCACAUUUUUUGUAAAAAAUGUCGGCCUGUUCAGUUAUAGCGAUUUGUUUUACGCAUGGGAUAUCUACUCCUCGCUUAUCAAGCUGUAGCGGUUAAGGGAUAAUCCCUAGAGUGCUGCCAGUGUUUUAUUUUUUAUUUUUUGUUUUAUUGUGAUUUUUGGAUAUGGCAGCUCACGAUUUGCUUUUUUUUAUUUUAAAGAUACAGGGAGACUUUCGGAUUUUUUUUAUUGAUUUGUGUGUUGUGCUUUCUUCUGAUAUUUUUAUUAUGAAACCUUUAAUUCUCCACCUCUUCCUUUUUUGUCUCAGCCUCCAUUGUCUCUUGCAGGUUGUAAGGUCAUAGGCCAUUUGGCGGAAUUAGAGUACUCCAAAUUCUAGAUGAGCAGCUAGCAAGCAGGGUUGUCUACUGGGAUAGUUUAAGACGAACUGUCAGUUCUCAGUGAGUGCAGCAAGAGAAACGAGUUCCAUACCUUAAUAAAUUACAUCUGAAUUAAAACAUUUCUAGCUGUGAAAUCCAAGUUUAUAUAAGAUAAUAUUCACUAAAUGCCUAAAGGUUUGAUCAUAUUCAGUUGUCCACAUAUGACAGUUUCAAUUGGAACAAAAUGUUAUAUGAAACCCAUUAAGCUAUGUCCAGAAGGCGCAUUCUGUUGAUUAUUUUGUAUUUGCAAUUUCAUUGAUGCAAAAAUUAGGCUAAGGAGUUGGUUAGUGCAGUACCUAAAAAACGUUAUAGAAGGAAAAGAAACCACUGUCAUUCCGCCCCUGCACAGUUGACCUAAAGCAGUAUACAACACCACAUAUAGUCAGGAAAGUGAACUCAGCAGCAAAGUGAUAUUUAUGGGUGUACUAGUGCUACCCAAAUGUUUAAUGGAGGACACAAAAGUACAAAUGUUUCAGGCCCACGGCCCUUAUCAACGUAGAAAGGGGUAUUGCAUAUGAGCUCACUUUCUUGGUUUGCUAUUCCAUUAAGUUGCAUUCUGUUAGCUUUUAAAGUCAGUCUAAUCUCUACAAAGGUUUGUAAUCUGGCUAUUCACAAACAGUUCAGUUCAUGGAAAGCCUCUAGGACAGUGGGACAUGAGUGGGCCAUGUAGUUAAAGUAUAUUAAGGGUACCUUUAUUCCACCCACUCUAAGAAAAAAAAGUGGCUUGAGGAUCUCCCAGUGUGGGUGGAAUAAAGUUAUCCUUAACAUACUUUAACUACAUGGCCCACUCAUGUCCCACUGUCCUAGAAACUUUCGAUGUUGUCCAGUUAAUUCCCUUUGUGUACCAUUUCAUGUCUGAACAGUUGCUCUUAUAACUGUGCAUUUUGCCUGCCCACGUUCCAUGAACUGCCAGGUGGACAGGUGAGAGAUCAGGCUGCCCAGGGCACAGCAGGGGAUGGAUUUGACCAUAACAGGGGGAAGUUCUAUGCAUGAAAGAGGCAGGCCCGCUUCUAAAGAGGGGGGCCAGGCUGACUGAUAUCCUGUCGUUUAAGAGAGUCCAUGGUCCUAUUGUGCAGUCUCCACCUGCACGUACCCGACAGAUUUCAAAAUGUGGGAAAGGUGCAUGGGACCCAGUUUUGCAGGGACAGCACUCCAAACUGAGGGACUGCCCCCACAAAUUUGGUACUGUUGGCUCCUAUGUACAUUUUAAGAAAAAAUAAAUAAACAGAAUAUUCGAUUUAGUUUAGAAGUGUGGAAAACGUCCUGAUUUUAUGCAAGAAAAUAUUUGUAAAUGCUCAUGUUUGCUAGGUGAAAUUUAAUCCAUAUUUUUUCAUAUUUUACAGGACAAUGGCUCUGGUGCAAGAAACAACAGAAAUCUUUAAUCCAUUGUUAGAGAUCACCACUUAUGCCAUCACAAAUUCCACAAAGAAGCCAUUAGAUUCGUGCAUUACUCCUGAAGGCAUAGGCUGGCUAACUGAAUACCAACCAGUUUACAUGUGGAUCAUUUUUGUCUUGGGUUUCAUAGAAAACUUGCUUGUGAUUUGUGUCUACCUGUUGCACAAGAGUCGAAGUACAGUGGCUGAAAUCUACCUUGCAAAUUUAGCUGCUGCAGACUUGCUUUUCGUCUGUAGUUUACCCAUUUGGGCCCUUUACAUAUCCAACUCAUUCACCUGGGUCUUUGGAAGUUUUCUUUGCGUUGUUGUUAAUGCCCAGGCACAGAUAAACAUGUAUGCCAGCAUUUACUUUUUAUUGAUGGUCAGCAUAGACCGAUUCCUAGCACUUGUGAAGACAAUGUCAUCUGGGCGCAUGAGAGGAACUGGUUGCGCGAAGCUUAACUGUUUAAUUAUUUGGAUAUUUGCGGUCUUGAUGAGCAUUCCUAAAGUUGCCUUUCGCGUUGUCACAUAUGUUGAACAAUUCAACACCACCAUGUGUCUCACUAAUGCGAGUAAGGAAUGGCACGUUGCCUCAAAUUUCCAGCUAAACAUCGUGGGCUUCUUGAUACCAAUGAUAGGGAUUGCAUAUUGCACCUUACAGAUUAUGAAUGUUCUGCGUAACAAUUCAAUGCAGAAGUUUAAGGAGUUUAAUACAGAAAAAAAAGCCACAGUUUUAAUCUUCACCGUCCUCUUGCUGUUCAUAGUGUGCUGGCUCCCUUUUCAUAUUUUCACCUUUCUUGAUACUCUGGAUAUCUUAGAGGUUUUUCCCAAGUGUGCUUUAUCUAACUUUUUUGAAAUUGGCAACCAAAUCUCAACGUAUAUUGCCUACAGUAACAGUUGCAUCAACCCACUUCUAUAUGUCCUGGUUGGGAAUCAUUUCAGAAAGAAAACGAUGGAAGUCUAUCGACAGCUUACAUCGAGAAGACACAGAGAAAGAAAUUUUUCCAUCCCCACUGACUUUUCAGCUGACACGAUAAGGACUUCAAUUUCAAUGGGAACCCAAAAUCGAAUAUUUUGAUUUGACUUUUCAGCAAGGCUUGCAGCCAGAAUGGACUUUAUUAACAAAUAUUGAACAUAAUAUGAAUGUAAUAUAUCAAAGUAUUGAUAAGCUGCAGUUAUAUAUUUCUCCUUUUUAUCUUGCUUUUAUAGAAUAGAAAGUCUGCUUUAAACUAUCAAACAAUUAGCUCAGGUGUUGUUAAAACAUUAAGAAUUGUAUUUAGACCUUGACCUCUGUAGCCUGAAAUUGUUUCUAUCGGCCAGCCCAUAGAGGCUCCCAAAGUCUCCCAAUUUAAAUCUUGACAGCCUAAUUUUAACGUGCUGUCCCACUAUGAGGAUUUUUUGGAAAACAAAUUGGACAGAAGGGCAAGUACUCCAAAUCCAUAACUGCCACCCCCAUCUAGAAAUCAGCCGCAUCCUAAAUACAACAUGCAAUGUAUGCACUUGCUAACACAAUGUAUAGCUAAAUACCGUGGAAAAAUUGUGAUUUAAAAAAAAAAUAACUUUCCAGUAGGCACAAUUCUACAUAUAUUAAAACUUUUACUGUAAAUAUGUUUUGUCUGCCCUCAAAAACUUAAAGGGACACUAUAGUCACUAAAACAACUUUAGCUUAAUGAAGCAGUUUUGGUGUAUAUAUCAUGCCCCUGCAGUCUCACAGCUCAAUUCUCUGCCAUUUAGGAGUUAAAUUACUUUGUUUAUGCAGCCCUAGGCACACCUUUCUGCAUGUGACUUACAUAACCUUCCUAAACACAUCAUGUAAAGAGUCAUCUAAUGUUUACACUUUCUUCAUUGCAUAUUCUGUUUAAUUUAUUAUCUCCUAAUCUGCUAAUAGCUUUCUAGACCCCGAAAGGAGCUUCCUGUAUUUAAUUAAAGCUCAAUUUACAGAGCAGGAGAUACAAAUAUUUAAAGUAAGUUAACAUCUGAUUGAAAAUUAAACAAUUUUGUUUUCAUGCAGGCUGUGUCAGUCACAGUCAGGGGAGCUGUGGCUGCAUAAACAAAAACAAAAGUGAUUUAACUCCUAAAUGGCAGAGAAUUGAGCAGUGAGACAUCAAAGGCAUGAUCUACACAACCAAACUGCUUCAUUAAAGGACCACUAUAGUGCCAGGAAAACACUAGGGGAGGAAGGGGUUAAACUUACCUCUUUCUCCAGCGCUGGACGGGGGACUCUCCUCCUCCUCUCCUCCUCCAUAGCGACGUCAUCGGCUGAAUGCGCAUGUGCGCCAGUCCAUAGAAAAUCACAGUGAGAAGCGCGGAAGCACCUCUAGCGGCUGUCAAUGAGACAGCCACUAGAGGCUGGAUUAACCCUAUUAUAAACAUAGCAGUUUCUCUUAUAGAAAAAAGGGUUAAUCCUAGCUGGACCUGGCACUCAGACCACUUCAUUAAGCUGAAGUGGUCUGGGUGCCUAUAGUGGUCCUUUAAGCUAAAGUUUUUUGGGUGACUAUAGUGUCCCUUUAAAGCCAAAGUAGCGAACUAGAAGCAUAGUUUACUGUGAGAAUAUUUCCCUUUAAAGUACAAACCACAUUGGUUUCCAGUUUAUCAACCUUAGUCUUGUAUAUAAAUCCUUAAAAAACUGAAAUCCCACUUAUUAUCUUUACUUGUCUCCCUCUACGUUCCUUUUCUCUUCCACCCCGUGCUGCCUCCUGUUUUAACUAUUUUUGCCUGUAUUUGGAAGGAACUAUUUUGUCAUAUUAGCUAUAUCCAUCUGAGUUUUCAUAGAGAUCUUAAAUCCUGCCUAUGUACUUUCACUUCCCUGCCUCCUCUCAAUCUUCAACCAUUUAUCUACAUACCGUUUUUAAAGACACAGCAUUAAGCUAGUUCCAUUCUAGUCAUUACUUGUCCCUUUUCAAUGUUUAAAUACUAUUCUUUUGUAAGUAGCUCUGGACAACAAUGCCAUCUUAACAAUGUACUUGUUAAAAGGAAUAAUAUUAAAUAUAUAAAUAUUAGCCAAGCAUAUUUAGCUAAAAAUUAAAUCUUCGCAAAAUACACUUACUUCAGUAUAAUAUUUUUAAAUAUUGGUUGGUUGCUAAAGGCCUGAUAAAAUGUUCUGUAGACAUUAGCUUUCCAAGGCAGAAUUUAGCUUAUUGCAUGCUUCGACCAAAGGCAAUGCCAAAAGCAUAUUCCCCAGUGUAGCCAUAGGGGUUUCCUGACAUCUGGAACCAAUUGUACAACAAUAGCUUCCAUUUUGUUGCUAAACCAGAAAAAGGAACAAAGUUAUUUUACUGAUAAUUGUAGACACCGGGGGGUGCGGUGGGUCCCUUCAUUGCCAAUUGUAAUUUAGUGGUGCUUUUAGAGAGCAACUCCAGACCAGAAAAAUGUAUUAAGUAUAUAAAGCUUUUGCCUGUUCAUAGAUUUUCUAUAAUAUAUACACACACAGAUAUAAAAUAUGUCUAGGUAUGUUUUGUGUGGAACUUAAAUAGUCUUACGAUGAAAUGCAGAAGAUAUUAAAGUAAAUGUCAUUCUUAUUAUUUAUAAAGUGCCAACAAAUUUCGCAGCACUGUACAAUGGGAUUCAUGUAUAUUGGGUGAUUAUCAUACUCCCCAACAUUGGUGUCUCAUGAAGGGGGAUGCUGGUAGGCAGAGUAAAAAGGGAAUGGGCUAGUAAUGAUACAGUGCUUUCUGCAGGGAAAAAAAAAAAACAUAAUUUUAAAUAGGGUUUUCUUCCAAUUUAUACAUAUACAAUAUAUAGAUAGAAUGUAAUGUUCUUUAAAAUGAGCAUUGCUUAUGAAAAGCAUGACAGUUACCCUUAAAAUUAGAAAUUUAAUUUGAAUUCAUAGCAAUUCUCACUUUAGAAUUCUAUUAAGAAUGUGGAACGCAGUCAAAGAUCAGCUGCACACGUCUUUCUAACCUACCUCGACGCUUGUAACCCCCACACGCUAAGCGUGUAGCAUACAUGUAAAUCAACUACUAAAAGUCCAUUUUUGCUAGUAUUUAAAUUUCUGUAAAUACUGGGUACCUGCUGUGCAAGUCGAUAAUUAUAUAACAUGUAAAAAGAGAAUUAUAUAACAAUUACAUAAUGUAUAAUGUAUGCAUGUAAAUAUGUAUAUGUAGUAUCUCACAUAUAACUGUUAGUAUAAAUAAUGCCAAACAUAUUUUUUGUUCAAUCAUUGGCCCUCCAGCUGUAAGGUGGCAGAGGCAAAUGGGAAACAUGGGAAAUACAGUGGGACCUCGGUUUGCGAAUUUAAUGCGUUCUCGGGACAUUUCUUAAACCGAUUUUUUUGUAAACCGAAAGGCGGUUUCCCAUAGGAAUGCACUGAAAACCAAUGAAUCCGUUCUGGAGGUCAGAAAAAAGUCAAAAUGAGCUGGCAUGGAAACCAACCCACAAUGCAGAACGCACAAUAAAAGGCAUGCAAACGACGAAGCUCAGCUCCCUUACUUUCCACAGCUUGAGAAAUGCACCAAAAAGUCCCAAAACAACUGCAAACAAUUUCCAGAAUGGCUCAAAAAUUCAAUGCAAAAUCCGCUCCAACACCUCCACACUCGACACCAUGUGCUACCCACAGGCUCCAGCAUGCGGUGGGCGGUGCUAUAAACCUCCCAGGCGCAAUGCAUCCUGGGGAAACUUGCUUUGUAUUGUGAAAAAUCUUUGUAAACCGAGGCAUUAUUUUCAAUGGAUUUUCAUUUGUAAACCGAAAAUUAUGUUAACCGAGGAGUUUGUAAACCGAGGUCCUACUGUAUAGUCGAAUUUUAGGAGGAUUAUUACAGAGAAUGCUAGCUGAACUACCUGAUGCCCAAAUCCUCAUAGCAGUUGGAAAAUCCAUUUGUGCCAGAUUUGCAUGAUCUCACUGCCCCAUUGUGUUCUGCAGUGUUGGUGAAAGUUGAUUUGUCGUAGCAACUUAAUAGGACACUCUAUGCACUCUAGGGACAUGCUUUGUCUUACUGAAGUUGUUGUAAUGUCUGGCGUUCAUUGGCACCACCCUUCCCUUUAAUGUUAAAAUGUUUUAAAUCUUUUAAUGCUUGGCUAAUAAGGAAUCAUUAGCCUGAGCAGUAGUGGGUGGUGGUGACAGGCAGAGAGUGACAUCUAUUGCUGGUAUAAAGUGUUCUUGUUAAGGAAGAGUGUAAUCUCUGCCUUAGUCAUUUGUCCAGUGGGAGCCAGGCUGUGGGAGGACAAGGAGCCUCAUAAAAACUUUUAGUGAUGUUAUUCAUUAUACCUCCAUAUAGGUAUUCCAAUGAGGUGUGAGAGACACGUAAACUUUUAGCUGAACUUCAAAGAAAAUCUGGCAAAAGGAAGUCAUAGUGAGGAAAGCUACAUAUUGCUACCAAAGCUGCCAGUGCUCAAUGGCCACCUUCCAGGAUGGAGGUGGGCAUGGGACAGAUGAGGCUGCACAGCACUCCGAGCAAUGGUCGGAGUGCUUUUCUGCCCAUGAAGAUGGCAGAACCGUCCAUCAAUGGAGUGGAGCUGCCCAUUAAAUAGGCAGUUUCACCCAUAAAGAGGAUUGCCAGGCUGAAUGUCAGCUUUCCUCCUCAAUGACAAUGCAUUUUGAAAUCUGACCCCAGAUUUAAAAAUGUAAGACAGCUCCCCAGGACUUAUUUUUGCUUGGACAGUACCCCAAAAUGUCGGACUCUCCCGGCAAAUUCAGGAAUGCUGGCAUAUAUUUAAUGCACUAUUUGCUUGUCGCAUUUUACAGGAAAUUACAGUUGUUUAGGAAGUGCUCAUGGAAAUUCAUAUGUUAAAAAAAUUACUCCACCCUGUAUAAAAAUGUUAUGUUAAAGAUUAUUUGAGAAGGAUUUUUUAAAUAGGAUAUUUCUGCAAAAUGUUGAAACCUAAACAGUAUUAACUCUUAAUAAUUCAUAUCACAAUAUGCAUUUUUGAAAGAUGUAAUAUAUUUUUUAGUGUAGAAGGAUUUGUUGUGGUUUCUUAUACACCAGUUUUUCAUUUUAUAUAUUAUGUUUUUGUAAGCUAAAUGUGAGUUUCGGU